rnacentral:lncRNA from 1 species
UGCAUCAUACUAUUUUUGGUUUCCAUGUUUACCAUUGUGGAGAUCAGUAUCAGGUCAAGACUGAACUCUGAAGAAUCACAAGGUGCAACAGUUUUUGAUUCAAGACUGAACACACUUCAUGAUUGGGUUCUGAAGAACCAAGGAAGUGAAUAUACAAGCGAAUUGUUUUCAUACAUAAAGAAGUGAAUUGUAUUUCUCAUUACUGACCAAGAUAAAGUGUGCAUCGUUCCUUACCAAUGAGUUGCAAUCAGGAUGGUCGCUUCCGGACGUGAAUUUGUUUUCUUGAAUAUUAUGAGAGCCAAUCCAAAUAUCAACUUUGUACAAGUAUCCAAUACCUGCAUGAAUCUGAAAAACAAAUGUGUACACAUAUAUAAGUUUAUCUUACAGCAAGAUUCCUUUUGAAAGUUUUUUUUUGGACUAGUGUCCAAUACCUACAACAAUCUGAAAGAAGUUCACCGUUCCCAAAAAGGCCAAAUAAAGCCUAGGCGGUAAGAUAUCUUCAAAACUCAGACGUUCGACAUGGUUAAGAGUGUUGCUGACUAUAUGUUGGUGCCACAUGUGAGUGACCAUGAUUUUCAUUUUUUAUGUACUUUUAUUAUAUACAGCUACUCCCUCUGUAACAAAAUAUAGGACGUUUUUUUUUGUUUCACGUACAAUUGUUAAACACCCCUUACAUUUUGUUACAAAGGGAGUACAAUACUGCAAUACAAAUGCACAUAACAUCACACGGUCAAACUUGGUUAGAGGUGGUAGAGUGCACAUAUAUAUGGGUUGCCAUGUAAAAUGUGAAAGGAUGGAGUCCAAUGCAAGAUAAUAUACAUUUUUGUUAUUGGAACAAUAGUUAAUGUUGGACCUACCAUGAGUACUAGAAAUACUGGUCUAUGUUUUCAUGCUGCUUGGACAGUUCGCUUGUCCUUGUCAACAUGUUUGGGCGUUUAGACAAUUAAGUGCCCAUGUGAUCACACACCCUUGAAUUCGUCGUAGUUGAUGUUGUAGUCAUCGCUACAAACUUUUCUAUAUUUUAAGUCACUGUAAGAGUUCGCAGAGGCUUCGGUAAAAAAAAUAAAGUGUCCGCAGAGGCCAGUUAAUUUGUCCAGAGAGAAGGAUUCCCUCAUCAAUCCAUGGAGGUUGCCAUAUCUGCAGUUACAGGUGAACUUUUGAGCAGGUUCAUCUCCUUCCUGAUGAACAAGUAUCGCUCCUCCUUAAGCCAUGCACACCCAGAGGAGCAAAAGAAGGUGGUGGAGAGGUUGCAGCACCUCCUGAUGAGGGCUGGCACCAUCGUCGAGGAGGCGGACGCACGGUACAUUACCAACUCUGGAAUGAUGACACAACUCAAGAAGCUCUCAGAGGCCAUGUACCGAGGAUGCCGCGUGCUGGACACCUUGAGGUACUGAACCCUCCAAGACAGUGGAAGCUUCGACGAGGUUAGCAACGAUUCAUCCAUCAGCUGCUUGUAUUUAGCCAACCGUUCUCGAACAACUGGCAAGGCCGUGCACCUCGAGUCACAUGAUGCCUUGGAAAGCUUAGAAAUUGCUGUUGCUAACAUGGCAGAAUUUGUCGUGCUUCUGGGUGGAUGCGAACGCAUGUCUCGUAGGCCAUACGACGUUUAUCUUUACACCGAAAACUUCAUGUUCGGCCGGCAUGCUGAGAAGCAGAAGCUCUUGAUCUUCUUGCUGCAGCACAAUGACCCUCAUGGUGAUCAUGCACCUGCCAUUCUUCCAGUCAUAGGUGGUGCCUCGGUAGGAAAGAAAACUUUGGUUGCUCAUGUGUGUGGCGACGAAAGGGUUCACUCACGCUUCUCCUCCAUUUUGCACUUGAAUGGAGACAGCUUUAUGAGGAUACUUGACAACGGAAGGAGCAUGUUUGGGAUGGUGUUGGUGGUUAUUACGUUUGCUUCUGAUAUAGAAGACGAUGAUUGGAAAAAGUUUCACUCCUUUGUCAUAACAAUGGGCAGAGGAAGCAAGAUCAUCAUCAUUAGUAGACUUCAAAGGCUAGCUCGAUUCGGAUCGGUGAAACCGAUUUUCCUAACUGUUCUGUCUUAUGACGAGUUGAGGUACCUUCUCAAGACACUGGUAUUUGGAAGUGUAGACCCCAUGUAACAUCCACGGCUUGUAGAAAUAGCAGAUAAAUAUGCCAAGGUUUUGCACAGUACACAAGGUUCACUUGUCGCAACAAAUAUGUUUGCGGAUGUGUUGAGAAGGAACCUCAAUGUUCAGUUCUGGCGUGGUAUAUUGGAAAGGGGGAUACGAAUGGUUAAAAGAAACCUCUCCAUAUAUGGUGUGCACCCAACCAUCCUUAUAGAACAAGGCCAUCCGGUGGACAUAACGGACUUUGCAUUGCAUCCACUUAGCAUGACACGUUAUACAGUUAAUGUUUCAACCAAGAAGCAAUCGCCAAGUGUGACAUUUGGGCAAUUGAUAACAGAUCCUAGUGUUAGACCAAAAGAAGACUUCAUUUUAAUUUCAUGGGAAUCAAGGAUACCCCCUCAUAACUCGUUUGCUCAUUUUGUUACGAGUCAUGCUCAGGAUACACAUGAAGGGCCAGGGAGGAAGCGACGAGGAGUGCCUAUGUAAUUUUGUUUCAGAGCUCGCAUAAUGUAACCCAUGUUGUACUUUCUGAUGCAUGAAAAUAAGAUGUGUUCGUGUGGCCAUGGACAAACCAUUUUAAAGAGUGAUUAUAUACCAUUAAACUAAAUGUGUUGGAGAUCUCAAUUGUAAAUAAAACUGUACUAUCAGAUCCAACGACCCCCCCCCCCCUCCACCCUGCAGUUUCUAGAUAACAAAAAACAUCAUCUUGCACCAUGGAAUGAAUCCUAAUCCAUAUAGGAAGGUGAGAAAACUUAACUGAAAUAAGAAGUGAAUAUUCAAGUGUUGUCUAUUUUAAGGACUCUGAAACUUCUGAACAUUCAGAACACACUUUAAUUUGAAGCUGGCCAAAACAGGAUAAAAGCUUUGCCGCUUUCACUCAAGGUUCACCAACAGUUCAGGAUUGACUAAAUGUAUCCAAACGGCAUGAUUCUACUCGUCAUUUACCAUUUCCUUGUUGUCUCUAGUUUGCUGUUUAAGCCAGUUUUAGCUGCUAAUCUUAGCUGAACUAACUGCCAAGUGCCUAAUGUGACCGCUGCGGAAGUAUAUCGCCCCAACUAAUCUUUGGCAGAGAAUUUCAUUUUGGGCCACUCGGUCCUCCUUGAGGCCGUCCUGUUCGAUUUUGGGCCACAGUGAUAGCUUUUUUGGGGGUAAAUUUUAGACUAUCUCAUGCUUCGGUAAUUUUUUCUGACUGUACUCAGUACAUGGAGCAAAUACACAGGAGGUACCAAACAAUUUCCUGUAGGAGGACUACUUUUAGUUUUUUUAAUAACAAAACCAAGUUGGAUCCCAGUAUUUGCUUUUCCAUUUUUACCAUUGUGGAGAUCAACGUCAGGACUCUAAGAAUCCACACAGUGCGACAAUUUCCGAUUAAAAGCUGAAUUAGUACAAAAUAAGCCGCACAGAGAGUGGGGGCAAAUGUAGAAACAAACUAGUUACAUGUGCUCAGAAAAAUUAUUAAGGUAUAGAGUUGUGAUUCUAAUCACUGACCAAGAUAAAAGGGCACAUAUCAUUUCUUUGUCAAUGAGCUGCACGCUGCUUCUCUCCACUGAAGCUCAUCUGAAAAAACAUAAACAAUUUUCAAGGUGAAACACUGCAAUAAUAGACUGCACAUACAUGGGAUGCCAUUCCCUCCAGUGGUAGAGGGUGAACCAAAUAUAAGAGGGGGGCGAUUGUGCAGCUAGUUAAGAAACAGCCUCUCAGCCUUUGCUAGCCCAUAAAAUUAGGCUAUGGGUCAUAUAUCCUGUGGCCAGAACCCGGGAUGGUCCCCAAGAGGCUCCGCCAGUGAUUCCCUCGUAUGUAUAAAAAAUGCAAGGAGUUCAACAAAAGACAAAUGCAAAGAUGAUUAAAUAUACAUUUUGCAAAGGGACAACAAUCAAUUUGGACCUAACGUAAAUAUUACAAAUACUAGCUGGUUAAUUCUUUUUAAUGCUGCUUGGAAAGUUCGCUGGUCCUUGUCACGCCUUUGAGCUUUAAACAAAGUAUCCGUGCCUUUCACCCACCCACCCACCCACCCACCAAGUCGUCCAGGGACACUUUGUUUAAAUGCGAUUGAUACUUCAAGUCUUGCAGAGACCAGCUUAGUUAAAUUUGUCCAGAGAUCAACCAGUAGCUUACCUCAUCAAUCCUGGCCAUGGAGGUUGCCAUUUCUACAGUUGCAAGUGAGCUUGUAAGCCAGUUCAUCUCCCUCCCGAUGAACAAGUAUCACUCCUCCAGCCAUGGACAUUCAGAGGAGAAGGUGGUGGAGAAGUUGCAGCAUCUCCUGAUCAGAGUAGGCACCACCGUUGAUGAAGCGGACGCUCGAUACAUAACCAACUCAGGGAUGAUGAUGCAGCUCAAGAUGCUCUUAGAGGCCAUGUACAGAGGGCACCGUCUGCUUGAUACCUGGAGGUACCGAGCUCUCCAAGACGGUGCAGGCUUUGACGAGGUUAGCAGCAACAACUCAUCUAGCAGCAGUUUGUAUUUAGCCAUUCCACUCAAGCGUUCUCGAACAACAACGGCGAAAGACGACAAGGCCAUUCGCCUCGAGUCACAUGAUGCUUUGGAAAGCUUAGAAAUUGUUGUUGCUAACAUGCCAGAAUUUGUUGUGCUUCUGGGCGGAUGUGAGUGCGUGUCUCGCAGGCCAUAUGACGUUUACCUUUACACCGACAAUUUCAUGUUUGGCCAACACGCUGAAAAGCAAAAGCUCUUGAGCUUCUUGUUGGAGCACAACGAUCCUUUAGGUGAUCACGCAUGGGGCGUCCUUCCGCUCAUAGGUGGUGUUGCAGUUGGGAAGAAAACUUUGGUUGCUCGUGUGUGGCGAUGAAAGGGUUCGCUCACGCUUCUCCUCUAUUUUGCACUUGAAUGGAGACAGCCUUUUGGGGAUACUUGAUGAUGGAAGGACCAUGUUUGGGACGAUGUUGGUAGUUAUUGAGUUUGCUUCUUAUGUAGAUGAUGAUGACUGGAAAAAGUUUUUCUCGUUUCUCUUAAGGAUGAGUACAGGAAGCAAGAUCAUCAUCGUAAGCAAACUUAAGAGAUUAGCCCGGUUGGGAACGCUGAAACCGAUCUUCCUAAGUGUGCUAUCUUACGACGAGUUGAGAUACCUUUUCAAGGCACUAUCCUUCGGGAGUGUAGAGCCCGCAGAACAUCCUCGGCUAGUACAAAUGGCAGAUGAAUUUUCCAAUGAGUUGCGCAGUGCACAUAGGUUCACUUCUUGCAACAAAUGCCUACGCAGAUGUCUUGAGAAGGAAUCUCGAUGUUCAGUUUCGGGAGCGCAAAAUGGACAAGAGGAUGAUAGUGGUCAAGAGGAACCUCUUCAUGUAUGCCGUGCACCCGAACACGCUUAUACAACAAGGCCAGGACAUAACAGAGUUUCCUUUGCAUCCACUUAGCAUGACACCUUACACAGUUGGUGCUUCAGUGAAGAAGGAACUCCCACGUGUGACAUUUGCGGAACUUGUAACGGAUCCUAGUGUUGUCCCAAAAGGAGACUUCACUCUAGUUGCAUGGGAAUCAAUGAUACCCCCUCAGAAAUCAUUUGUUUAUAUUGUUACAAGUCGUGCUCAGGAUAUACAUCAAGGCAGCGCCUUGCCAGGGAGGAAGCGACAAGGAGUGCCAAUCUAGUUUUGUUUCAAGACUUGUAAAAUGUAACUCUUGUUGUAUUUUCUUGAUGCAUCGUUGCUGUGAACCAUUGAACUAAAUAUAUCACAGAUCUCAAUUAAUGUACAGUAAAUGCGCAAAAGUGCUCUUCUUAUAUAAUGCUUCAAGUCUCGGACUCUCGGGUAGUUUUUUUUUCGAAAAGGAGGUUAUCCCCCGACUCUCUGGUAGGUGGCUAACCGAUGCAACAGAAAUUAAACAUACAAGAAAGAGGUAUAUGCAUCAUCAACAUCAUCAUCAUUGCAAUGUUAUGGAUAGCAUUCUGCUAUAAUUGAUAGUGAAAUAGGGACAUGUUUAGAUACAAAUUACAGAGGAAUUGAUUUCAAAGAACCCUGGGAGCACUGCGGCAUCGCGUUGCAUCUGGGAGGCUCCCGUGCCAGCCCUUGAGGUGCUCGUAGUCGGACUAGCUACUCACCUCCCAUUCUCCCUCGCACUUGACAUCGGCGACCGCCAUGGCUCCGCCCGAGGCGGGGCUCGCUGCUGGCCUAGGGAAGGCAGGAGGAUGCUCGUGGUUGCACCCAUGGUAGGUUGGGGAAGAAGGAAGUUGGGGGUCGCACAUCAUCUGCGAGGCACACGUUGCCGCUGGCGAGGCUCCUACGCUAGCCCAUGAGGUCCUCCCAAUCGACCUGCCUAGGCGCCUCCCCUCGUCUUACUUGAAGUAGGUGGCCACCAUGGGUCCGCACGAGGCCCGACGGGGAUGCUACAUGCUGCACGGUGGCGCCGCUCGCCGGUAGCCGACGCCAUGGCGUGUUUGGGCUUUGGGGAAGGAGGAGAUUGGAGAUCGAUUAAGUGAACAACAUCGCCAGUAGGCACUGACCGUCGGGCCCCACGGUAAAACGGAAACGGUAUGACUCUUGCUAAGAGCAUCUGCAGAUCCCUUAAAAGCUCGCUGGCAUGUUUUUCCUGCUAAUUUACAAUACAAGCAAAAAAAAAACCAGGCCCGAAAAAGUCCUGUAAAAACGGCCCGACAUGUAGAAUUUUUACGGGAGGCCGGAAAACCGCUUUAGAAUCCGCAAUAUAUACCGGAGCGAGGCCGUUUUAGGGUCCACAUUUCUUCAUUUCCCAUAUCCCUCUCUGCCGCAAUUCGACAUCUCCGGCGACAAAUCCCCUUUCCCCCGGCAGCUUUUUGUGGCGCGCGUAGCCAUCCGAACCUUGUCCUGAUGUCGAGCGCAUGUCACCGGAGGGGUGGCCGAGGGUGAUUGACGGCCGAUCGGAGACGCUUGAGCAUGGGCGAGAAGAUUCGCUCCAGCCUGUCGAAGUUGCUCCAAGUCCGGCUGCCGGCGCUGCGGGAGAGAGCGUCGCACUUCUGCGCCUACUCCUUGCGCCACUCCUCCACCAGCGGGCGGAGGGAGGAUCUCCCAGUCUCUUCGUCGUUGCGGCGCUUGCGAGGCGGCGCGCGUGGUUCGAUGCGAAGGUUUUGCACAGCAUUCAAGGUACACUUGUUGAAACAAAUAUGUUCGCGAACAUGUUAAGAAGGAAUCUCCAUGUCCAGUUCUGGCGUUGCAUAUUGAACAAGGGGAUACAUAUGGUUAAAAGAAACCUCUCCAUAUAUGGUGUGCACCCGACUAUGCUUUAGAACAAGGCCACCUAGUGGACAUUCCGGACUUUGCUUCACAUUCACUUACCAUGACAAGUUAUACUGUUAAUGUUCCAAUCAAGGAGGAAUCACCAAGUGUGAGACUGGGGGAAAUUCUAGCAGAUCCUAGUGUUAGACCCAAAUAACUUCAUUCUAAUUUCAUGGGAAUCAAGGAUGAAAGCUGAAUAAAAUUGUUGCUUAUAGAUGAUUUGGUGCGGCAUACAAGAGUAUAUAAGAGGGUACAAACCGACUUGGGGUAGGGGUACAAAACUGACUUGGACUAGAAGUCGUAUACCAUAAUGACUACUCUAACACCCCCCCGCAGUAUCAACGGCAGGCUCGACGACGUUGAGACUGAAACAGAUAUCUUGAAAAGGCUUAGUAGGCAGUGCCUUGGUGAAAAUGUCAGCAAAUUGAGCCGUAGAGGGAAUAUGAAGCACCCGAACCUGACCAAGAGCAACCUUUUCACGAACAAAAUGAAUAUCAAUCUCAAUAUGCUUUGUGCGUCCGUGUUGAACUGGAUUGCUGGUCAUGUAAACUGUUGAUAUGUUGUCACAGUAGACAAUAGUGACCUGUUCAAUAGGCCUGUGUAGCUCGGAGAGUAACUGCCAAAUCCAGAUUGUAUCUGCAACGGCAUGUGCCACAGCGCGAUACUCAGCCUCGGCCGACGAACGUGAGACUGUAACCUGUCUUUUCGAAGACCAAGAAAUCAAAUUGUUACCAAGAAAAACACAAAAACCGGAAGUGGACCUUCGAGUGUCAGGACAACCAGCCCAGUCUGCAUCAGAGUAUGCGGUAAGCGAGUUUGGAGAAGAAUUAUUGAGGUGGAGACCAUGAUUGAGAGUUCCUUUUAAAUUCUGAAGAAUGCGUUUAACAUGAUUAUAGUGAGGAACCCGGGGAUCAUGCAUAUAGAGACAUGCUUGUUGAACAGCAAAAGAGAUUUCAGGACGAGUAAUGGUGAGAUAUUGGAGAGCACCUGUUAGGCUACGAUAGAGAGUAGGAUCGGAAAAGGGUUCACCGGUAGCCGAAAGUUUAAAACUAGUAUCGACAGGAGUGCGAGAUGAUUGACAGUCAAGCAUACCAGCACGAUUAAGAAGAUCAAGAAUAUACUGGCGUUGGGAAAGAAAAAGGCUGGAGGAAUCUCGAACAACAGCAAUGCCUAAGAAAUGAUGAAGGAGUCCUAGGUCAGUCAUAGAAAAUUCAGAUCUAAGAAGAGAGACAAUAUGAUCUAAGAACUUUUGAGAGGCGGCGGUAAGAAUGAUAUCAUCUACAUAGAGAAGUAAAUAGGCAGUGUCAGAAGUUUGAUGAUACACAAAAAGAGAGGUGUCGGAGAGAGAUGGAGUGAAGCCUAUUGUUUGAAUGAAGGAGGAGAAGCGUUGAAACCAAGCUCGUGGGGCCUGUUUAAGACCGUAGAGAGAUUUCUGAAGACAUACAUGAGUUGGAAAGGAUGGAUUUUCAAAACCCAGAGGUUGCUGGCAGUAGACAGUUUCUUGAAGGGAACCAUGGAGGAAAGCAUUUUUAACAUCAAGUUGGUGAAUGGGCCAUGAAGAGGAGACAGCAACACUAAGAACGGUGCGAAUGGUGCUAGGUUUAACAACAGGAGAGAAGGUUUCUUCGUAAUCAAUUCCUUGUUGCUGAGAAAAGCCACGACAAACCCACCUGGCUUUAUAUCGUGAGAGGCUCCCAUCGGAGUGGAACUUUUGGCGAAAAAUCCAUUUGCCAGAAACAAUAUUUGUAUUGGGAGGACGAGGAACAAGUUGCCAGGUGUUGUUUUGAAGUAAAGCAUUAUAUUCUUCUUGCAUGGCAGCGGCCCAAUUGGGAUCAAGUAGAGCAGUUUUGUAAUUCUUUGGAAGAGAAGUGAGAGAUACGGAGGUAUGAAGGUUUAGGCGGUCUUGGGGUUGAUGAAAUCCUGAUUUGGCCCUAGUACGCAUGCGAUGAUCAUUAAUCGGGGUUGCUGUAGGAAUAGCACGAGGGGGUAAGGUGGGUACUGGUGAGUCCGGCGCAGCGGAAGAGUCGGACGAAGGAGUAGGGCUGGGUGGUGGAGUGGGAGCAGGGCUGGGUGGUGGAGUGGGAGUAGGGGCCGGGGGUGUUGGGGAGGGAGCAGGGAUCGGGGGUGUUGGGGACGUCUCGGGUGGGGUGAGUGUAUGGUUGGGAUUGGCUAUGGUGGGUGUUAAUGGUGGUGGUGAUAAGUUGUGUUCGGCAGGUAGGGGAGUAUAUAGUUGGAAAGGACGGGGAGAGGGGGUGUUUGCGAAGCUAGGGGUGUUGGAUGGUGUAGUAGUGCGUUGUGAGAAAGGAAAAAUGUGCUCAGCAAACGUGACAUGACGAGAGACAUGAACGUGUCCGGUGUGAAGGUCGAGACAACGAUAGCCUUUGUGCUCGUCAGAGAAGCCGAGAAAAGCACAUGGGAUAGAGCGUGGUGACAAUUUAUUUGCAGAAGUGGCGUAGGCAUUGGGAAAACAGAGACAGCCGAAAACACGAACCGCGGAGUAGUCGGGGUGGGAAAGAAAGAGGGAAUAAUAGGGAGUAGUGUUGGGUUUAGUUUUAGAAGGUCGAAUAUUUAGAAGGAAGGUGGCCAUGUGUAGGGCUUCAGCCCAAAACUUGGGAGGCAUAGAUGAUUGAAUGAGGAGAGUGCGAACUAUAUCAUUGAGGGUGCGAAGAGAGCGUUCUGCUUUACCAUUUUGAGGGGAGGUGUAGGGACAUGAGAACCUAAGCAGGAUGCCAUGUUGUAAGAAGAAAGUACGAUUUUUAAUGUUAUCAAACUCGCGACCAUUGUCACAUUGGAUAAAGCGAAUUGGGAGGAAGAAGUGAACAGACACAUAGCGUUGAAAAUUAAGGAAAAGAGAAUGGACCUCGGAUUUGUUGCGUAGAGGAAAAGUCCAGACAAAGUGGGUGAAAUCAUCUAGAAUAACAAGGUAGUAUUUAAAACCCGAAACACUUGCAAUGGGAGAGGUCCAUAAAUCACAAUGUAUUAAUUCAAAGGGAUAAGUGCUACAAGAACUAGAGGAACUAAAGGGAAGACGCACAUGUUUGCCUAAUUGACAAGACUCGCAAAACACAGAAUUAUGAGAGUCCCUAUUACAUGGUAUGGUAAAUUCACUAAGCAUAGAAGCUAAGACGGCGGGGUUGGGAUGGCCCAAGCGACGAUGCCAGAGAUCGACGGAGGCCAGCAUGGAUGUUGGAGGGGUGGCGGCAGGAACUCCAUUAAGAGAAUAAAGAUCACCGGAGCUAUUGAAGCGAGCGAUCUCGGCCUUGGUCAGGUAAUCCUUCACGGAUAAACCAAAAGGGUCAAAUUCAGCCGAAACUAGAUUGUCGCAAGUAAAUUGGCGAACAGAGAUAAGAUUUUUAAUGAGGGCGGGUGCAACUAGAACAUCGCGAAGUAAAAGAGGUUUGGUGGAAGAGGGAAGUUGAGCCUGACCAACACAAUAUAUAGGAAUAGAUGAUCCAUCUCCAAGGAUAAUGGAAGGGAAAGGAGAUUUAGUGCAAGAAGAUAACCAAUUACUAGAUGCAGACAUAUGACUAGAGGCCCCUGAAUCAAAGAUCCAAUCCGUACCCGAGUUUCCUUGUGCAGCAAAGUUAUUCAUGGCCUGGAGAAAGGCAGCUUGAUCCCAGCUCGGCGUCGCAGGUGAGGGUGGCGUCGGAAGCAGUGCCGGCGGAUACGAUGGUGAAGGCAGUAGGGACGGCUGGGGAGUGUAGUAGGCAUUGGCCGGCUGUGGUGGGGGUGGCGUCGGGAGCAGGGCCGGCUGAGGUGUGUAGUAGGCGCCGCCGUCGGUGCUGUAAUGACCAUAAGGAGCAUACGUCGGGGCGGCGUGAUAGGCAUUGGCCGGCUGUCGGGGGUUGAGAACCCCGGGAGCACCAGUAGGCGGCCGAAGGCCGGGUUGCCAGGCACCUGAGUAUGCCGGCGGAGCACCGAGGGUGGACGGAGCGGACCAGGGCAUGGGCCAUGCUUGAACAAGCCCCGUCCAAGGAUCAUGAGGAGGCCGCCAUGCAACCGCAGAUGGAGCACUGGUGGGUGGUGCAGGACUCGGUGCUGGUGAUGUCGUAGGCGGAACCGAACGAGUCGACGGCGGCCUGUAGAUAGGGUUUUUGCCGCGGUAGUUCGGACUAGGACGCCAGCCUGGGGGCGGUUGAACAAAUGACGAUGCGGACGGCCCGGCGGCAGGAGCCGGCCUGGAAGGCGGCGCUGGUGUAGACGACAGAGGAGGACGAGCCGCAGCAUGAAAGACCUUGGGGCGAGAGUCCUUGCGAGCUUGUGUUUCCGCCGCGAGUUGUAGCAAGGAACGAACUUCAGCGAAGGUAGGAGGGGUCCGUACCAUCGGUAUGAACGAGGCUUGCUUGUCAAAGUCUUCGCUGAGGCCGACGACGACGAUAUUGAUUAGCUGUGAGUCGCUAACUGUAUCGCCGAGUUCGCGGAGCUCAUCACCAAUGGUCUUAACGCGCUGGCAGAACAGGUUCAUCGGGGCGUCUCCUUGCACCAUAUUGCGAAGCUCGGUGUGGAGAGCGUUUUUCCGAGCGUCGGUGUUGCUUUGGAAGAGCUGACGGAGGGAGUGCCAGAUGUUGGCAGCGGUGGCGCCGUCGUGAUCGAGCAUGUUGAAGGUCUCGGUGGUGAUGCAGGUGUAGAACCACUAGACGAUCGCGAGAUCGUCUUUCAACCAUUGCGGAUCGUCGGGGCGGGGAAGACAGUUGGCGGCGAAAUGCGAGCGCAGGUUGCAGCGGCUGAGGUGGAGAUCGAAGAGAUGUCUCCAAUGGUAGUAGUUGUGGGCGGCGAGAUCAAGAACUAUGUGGAUGUAGGGCUGACGUCGGAGAUUGUGUCAGCAAGAGAUAUUGGUGCGGCGAGGAUGGGUGCAGGGUAGUUUUGUGGAGCUAUGAUGAGGGCCGAGAGAGAAGCGGCCGCGGCGUUGGCAGCCUUGGCGAUGAGUGCGGCCCGGCGCUCGAAGUAGCCGGGCGGCGGCGGCGGCGGUGGCGUUGACGGAGCCAUACCCUAAACCCUGUGACCGGUAUCUGAUACCAUGAAAGCUGAAUAAAAUUGUUGCUUAUAGAUGAUUUGGUGCGGCAUACAAGAGUAUAUAAGAGGGUACAAACCGACUUGGGAUAGGGGUACAAAACUGACUUGGACUAGAAGUCGUAUACCAUAAUGACUACUCUAACAAAGGAUACCCCCUCAUAAUUCAGCUGCUCACUUUGUUACAAGCCAUGCCCCGGAUACACAUGAAGUUAGUGCCAUGCUAGGGAGUAAGCGACGGGGAGUGCCGAUCUAAUAUUGUUGCAGAACUCGUGUAAUGUAAAAUCUUGUCGUAUUUUCUGAUACAUGAGCAUUAGAUAUGUUCGCGUGGCCAUAUAUAGCAUCAUCUUAAGUAUUAAUAAGGUGGCCAACUAAUGAAACAUAAAUUAAACUAAGAAGAAAGAGGUCUAUGAAUCAUCAUCAGGUAAAUCCUUAAAUAACUAGUAAUUCAGAAUUACAAAAGCUUUACCAUUGCAGAGAGCAAUCAGGUUUGUCCAUCAACAGAAGCGUGGCCAUGAAGAACACAUAUGGCGCAACAGUUUUGAGCCUUGAAGAACUGGUAGAUAUAUCUUCCAAAAGAUUGAUUACUCAGGAAGUAACUUCAAGUUUGCUGUUGUGUAACAUAAAUGAUAUGCAUAUUUAUUGUAUGAGAAUAUAGUACACAAUGGUAGCCUUUGUUUUCUCAACCUGGAUUCAAACAUCCGUGAGGAAUAUCAUUAAAAAAUAAUGACGCCGUCAUCUCCAAAUGCCAAAAACAGGUUAGUGUGGAAGAAUAUUAAUUUAGACGUACCUACUGUGACUAUUAAAAAUACAAGUCAAUGUUUUCAUGACGCUUGGGCAGUUGGCUAGUCAUUCUCACAUGUUUUUACGAGGAGCCCAACUAGUGUAUUCCUUGGGGGUACUAGACCAAUAUAUAGUACAAAUACAGGCAGUUUAUAAAAGAUACAUGUUAGCAGCCGUCUGCCACUCACUCUUGAACUCGUCGCAGUCAAUAGUCUGGGGACUUUUCUAUUGUGUGCGGAACUCUGCAAGACUUGACAGAUGCUAGUUAAUUUGUCCAGACUACAUAGAGAUCGACCAGUAGCUCUCCUCAUCGGCCGCUCUUCUUGCUUGCCAUGGAAGCUACCAUAUCUGUAGUCACAGGUGAACUAGUGAGCCGUUUCAUCUCCUUCCUGAAGAACAAGUACUACUCAUCUUUGAGAGAUGCACAAUCAGAGGAGAAGGUGGUGAGGAGAUUGCAGCAGCUCCUGAUGAGAGUCAGCAUCAUCGUCGAGGAGGCAGAUGCACGGUACAUAACAAAUUAUGGGAUGUUGUUGCAGCUAAAGAUGCUCUCGGAGGCCAUGUACAAAGGGUACCGUGUGCUGGACACCUUGAGGUAUCAAAACCUCCAAGACAGUGCGGACACUAACGAGGUUAGCAUCGAUGACCCAUCAAGCAGCAGCUUGUAUACAUCCAUUCCUUUCAAGCGUUCUCGAAAAAAAAAUUGAGAAGCAUGACAUGGCCAUGCACCUCGAGUCAGAUGGUGCCUUGGAAAGCUUAGAAUUUGCUGUUGCUAACAUGGCAGAAUUUGUUGUCCUUCUGAGUGGAUGUGAGCGCAUGUCUCGUAGGCCAUAUGAUGUUUAUCUUUACACCAACAACUUCAUGUUCAGCCGGCAUGCUGAAAAGCAAAAACUAUUGAGCUUCUUGUUGGAGCACAACAAUCCUCCUGGUGAUCAUGCACCGACAGUUCUUCCAAUCAUAGGUGGUUUUGGAGUUGGAAAGAAAACAUUGGUUGCUCAUGUGUGUGCAGAUGAAAGGGUUCGCUCACGCUUCUCCUCUACUUUGCACAUGAAUGGAGACAACCUCUUGACGACACUGGACCAUGGAGGGGCCAUGUUUGACAUGAUGUUGGUAGUUAUAGAGUUUGCUUCUGAUAUAGGUGACGAUGACUGGAAAAAGUUUCACUUGUUUCUCGUAAGAAUGAGCAGAGGAAGCAAGAUCAUCAUCAUAAGUAAACUGAAAAGAUUAGCCCGUUUUGGAUCAGUGCAACCUAUUUUCCUAAGUGCUUUGCCUUAUGAUGAGUUGAGGUAUCUUUUUAAGACCCUAGCAUUCGGGAGUGUAGACCCUGCAGAACAUCCACAACUAGUACAAUUAACAGAUGCAUUUGCCAAGGAAUUAUAUGGUAAGCAAGGUUCACUUGUAGCAGUAAAUACGUUCGCCCAUGUGUUGAGAAUGAACCUCACUGUUCAGUUUUGGCGUUGCAUAUUUGGUAAGGGGAUAAGACAUGUUAAAAGAAACCUCUCCAUAUAUGGUGCACACCCAAGCAAGCUUAAAAAACAAGGCCUUCCAGUCGACAUAACGGACUUUGCUUUGCAUCCACUUACCAUGACAAGUUAUACAAGUAAUCUUCCAAUCAAGGAGGAAUCACCAAGUGUGACAUUUGGAGAGCUUCUAGCAGAUCCUAGUGUUAGGCCAGAAGGAGACUUCACUCUGAUUGAAUAUGAAUCAAGGAUACCCCCUCAUAAAUCAUUUGUUCAUUUUGUUACAAGCCGGGCUCAGGAUACACAUGAAGGAAGUAGUAGUACCUUGCCAGGGAGGAAGCGACGGGGUGGGCCAAUCUAAAUUUUUUCUGAGAUUGUGUAAUGUAUGUAACUCUUGUUGUAUUUUUAUAAACAGAUGUGUUCAUGUAUUAUACUGAACAAAAUGAAUUACAGAUCUCAAUCAAUGUACCGUAAAUUUGUAUUAAGUAUUUGUUAUGAGUGGGGGUCCUAAAUAAAUUUCAGAAUAAAGGGCAGACCCCAAGUAUUUUAUAGCAUGGACAAGGGGAGAACAGAAGGAAAAUUUGUGUCUUUUAUCAGAUCCAACAAUCCACCUCCUGCUCUUAUUCGACAAUCAACAUCAGCAAAAGUGUCCUCUCCUCACUAUCUGUAGCCAGUCUCGGCAAGGAUGGCUUACUAGUGAAACAGGAAAUUAAACUAGCAAGAAAGGGGUCUAUGCAUCAUCUAUACGUGUUUUGCUCAUACCGGUGCAUAUAAAAGAGCAACAAUACUACGUGUGUUUAAACUCCAUGGUUCCAUUCCAUCUAAUCAAGCAACGCAAACGCUGCAUAUAAAAGAGCAAAGCAGCGGAGCUCUGAUUUUUCCUGUGCCGUGGCGUGGAAGUGGAUGUGGACGCCACAAAAAUCAGAUGAGAUCAGACUACGGUCUGCUCGCAGUGGACCUGGCCAGGCGCCUCCCUCGCCUGGCUUGAAUCCGGCUACGACCAUGGGUCCACCAUGGCUGGGCGGCGGUGCAGCUCGCCAUGGUGGUUUGAGGUUGGGGGAAAGGAUUCAUUGCUGGUAGACACUGACCACUGGGCCCGCGGGAAAACGGAAACGGUUUGGCUACGUGAAUGGCAGAACAAGUUGGGCCGAAAUGUCUGUCAGCCGAGAAACAAAAUGGACUCUAGCUUAGGCUUAAUAAUCCUUUCCUGGGCCGGGAUGUUUUGGGCUGGGCACUAGAAACCUGGAAAAAAUAUAUCCAAACCCCAGCCCGGCCUGAAAUAUAUGCAAAAAAAUGGGGAGCAGAGCAACUACUUUUUUUUGCGAGAGAAAUUUUCAAUCUAUUCAUCAAUCAUUUUUUCAGAAAAGGAGGAAGACCCCUGGCCUCUGCAUCUGGGUGAUGCAUACAACCAUUUUAUUAAUUAUUAACACAAGACCUUACAAAGUUAUACAACAAUAAGACUAAAGCCACCGUCUAAGCAACAUCUGUCGCUACUCCUAUCCAGUUGAUGAAGGAGCGCUGAUAGUCUGGGCCUAAUACCAAACAGGUCUCGCAGCCAAACCUAACAUCUAAGACCUGAGAUCCCAACCAGGACGCCUGCCGGGUAUGGGCACCCACCAGUUCGGCGUGCUCCUCAACAAGGACACCUGCCGGGUAUGAGACCGCCGCAGCCACCUGCCACCAAUCCAUCUUCAGAGCUGUAUUGCUGCAUGUACCUUGCCCGGUCUGGCCGCCGCCGACGCCACCACGACGCCAGACGGCGUCGACCUCCUGCGCGAGUCCAUCAUCGCACAUUAGACGCCUAAUCUCCAGGAUGCCAUGCCAUCGAGAUCCGAAACCAUGAAUGUGUAUGAUGAAGCACCACUCCUCUUGUCACCUCCAGCCAUCACUUGCUCCAAAAUGAUGCCCCCAUGAGGGAAAGCGAUACUAAGAACACCAUCAUCGUCCGAUCCGGGAGACCAAGAUCUAGGGUUUCCCCCGGAGCAUCCCGAGCCUGAUGACGCCAACUGCAACGACGAUGCCUCUACAAGGAAACGACAUCAAAGAUGCCGCCAUCGUCCGCCAUGACCGUAGUCGGCGCGAUUUUCAUCGGCAGUUGCGCCACCGGGCGUACGCCACCGGCCUCGCUGGUCCCUUCAACCUUAGCAAACUCGAAAAUGAUGCCCUGAAGAGGGACUACGACGCAAAAGCAUCGCCAUCGCUCGAUCCCAUGGAGAUCUAGGGUUUCCCCCGGAGUUGCCCGAGUUGUCAAAGACCAGACAAGGAUGGAAUCCCGCAGAUCCGUCCAGCUGUCGACGUAUCACACUCGCCAUCGCGCCGAUCAUGACCCGGAGACCAAGCUCACGCCUGGGCCCAGAUCUGGCCGCGCCACCGCCGAUCUGGUCACGCCGCCGCCGUCACUGGCGACUGUGGCGCCCCAGAUCUUGAAGCCGCUUGCCAUGGGGUAUGGGAUCGCCGGAGCGCCGCCAGCCCCCGCCGUGACGUCCGGCCACACGCCACGCUCCAGCCCAGGGGCGUCGGCCCGCUCCAGCUCCUCACGAGCGGGAGGGCACCUAGUCCCCGCCGUCGCCGGCGACGGCAAGGCUUUGCCUGGCCGCGCCUUCGGGCAGCGGCGAGGGAGGAGGAGGACGAGAGGGGUAGUCGGGGUGACGGGAUCUGGGGGCCUCCCAGCCGCCGCACCGGGGCGACUCGGGAGGAGGACGACUAAUCUAUUCAUCAAUCAUGGCAGUACAAAGAAUACAAGAGGUAAUAAAGAUUACAACCAGGUCUAUGGACCGCCUAGCGACGACUACAAGCACUAGAGCGAGCCGAAGGCGCGCCGCCAUCAUCGCCCCUCCAUCACCGGAGCCGGGCAAACCUUGUUGUAGUAGACGGUCGGGAAGUUGUCGUGCUAAGGCCCCAAAGGACCAGACGACCAGCUCACCAGAGCAGUAACCAUCGCUGAUGAAGGGAGUUGUAGACCGGAAAGAUCAAACCUGAAACCACAUGAACGCGAAGACGAACAAAAACUGGAUCCAAAUAGAUCCACCGAAGACCAGCACCGAUCGAAUCCCAUGAGAUCCGACGGAGACACACCUCCAAACAUCCUCUGACAACGCUAUUCGCAUGAUCAGGAUGGGGAUAGGAUGUUGGAGACAUUAUUGCUACCGAGGGACAUCGCCGCCACCACACAGCCCCAAUCAAGACGUUCAACCUAGCAAAAACGAGAACGGGGUCCCUCCCGCCGGUGGGGGGCCGAGAUCCUCCGCACCUCCAUAGGCGAAAGGCCAUCGAAGGUGGGGCGGAUCCGCGGCGGCGUUGACUGGAGGAAAAAGGAGACUUUUCUUGAGGAGGAAGAAAAAGGUCUAUGGUAGCAAAGCAACUACCUAAUGGUUACCAUCCCCUCGAGAAACAAACUAACAGUUACCAGCUACCACCUGCGGGGGCUCCCGCAAGGGUCACUUUUUUGGCAUGGGAGCGUUUGACGUUCAUAAAAAAGGCAAACGGGCGACAUCGAUAAACCAGAGGAGAUGGGGGAGUAUUUGACAAAAAACUACUGCAAUUGCGGUUGUCGUUCCACUAAACUACAACUUUCAAAUUCUUGACCAAAAACUACCAAUAUUUUUUUCUAAUUGUGUGACUAAAAACUACCAAAAAUGAUUGAUGACCGUUUUAGAUGAUCUAACCAUGUUUAUGACAAGUGGGACGCACCCGUCAGAAUUGAUGUGGUAGAGAAGUCAACACUAUUUAUUUUAACCGUUUUGUUGACCGUUAUGACGGGUGGGGCCCACAUCAACCUUCUUCUUCUUUCUCCUCCUCCUCUCUCUCGUUGGCAUUGCAACAAACAUCCUAUGUGGAUGGGAGGGAAGCAGGUCGUCUCCUAUGACGCGCCCGUUGUGAAGACGCCCCCGUCGCUCCCGACUAAGGAAGAUGGUCUACAGGACCUCCCGCACCUCAUGCCUGAGUGGACGGCGACGACAACCACUUGUCUUCCCGCGGAUAGCUAUGGCCGGCUCGGUCGAAUUCACGUCGUCGUUGUCCACGCCGGCGAGAGGAGCGCCGUCGCCGUCACCGACUCCAUCGUGGAGCUCGAGCUCAUACAGGGAUCCGAGGAAAGGUGGCAUCGACAUGUCGGCAAGCAGCUGGCUGGGCUGCAUCUCGCGUGCCGCUGGCCGUGCUGCAUCUCGCAGGCCAGCAGCGCACCAGCCAAGUUAGCACACGAGCAGCUCGUGUGCUAGCUUGGCUAGCUUGCUUAUGAGCAGGAGCAGGAGCAAAGCAGUGGUCGCCAUCAUCUUCUCGUCCUUGAGCUCGUCAGAAAAACCAUGGUGACAAGCUCCGCCGGGGACCAGUGACCCGCCGUCGCCGCCGGCCGCCGGUGCCCACGCGACCCGCCGUCACCGUCGCCGGUCACCGCUGCACUCUGCUCCCCCGCUUCCGCAACCUCCUCCUUCCAACCCUAACCCUACCCGCCGUCGCCGCUCUCCAUAGCCGCCGCUGCUGUCCCGUGUCGCCGCCCUUCCCCACCCCCGCUUCCGCCCUCUCUCCCUCUAGCUGCCGCUGCCGCUAUUGUCCAUAGCCGCCGCCGCGCCACCUCCGCACUGGGCCACCGCAUCCAGCUGCCGCUCCUCUGGCCGUCACUACCCAGGCCACCGUCGCGCCCACUCCAGCCGCCGCCGCCGCCCUGGCCACCACCGUGCCUCCUACCCCAGCCACCGCCGUCGCCGCUGCAAUGUCUUCUGCUGCGUCGUCUCCCUUCGGCCCCAUGUACGCGGGCGCGUCGUCCCCCUUCACCCACAUGCAGCCGGCCCCACCAAUGGCCGGCGGCCACGCUCCGCCCGCCCCGGUUCAGCCCCUCGGCGGCUACACCACGCCGCAGCUUUUCCGGCGGGCCAUCCGGCCUACUUCGACGAGCUGUAGCAGCCGACCGGUGCCGGCUCCGCGGCUCUGCCCGCCCCGCCGAUGGCCGACGGCCAUGCUCCGCUCGCCCCGGUUCAACCCUACGCUGGCUUCGCCUCGCUGCCGGUCUCCCGGCCAUGGGGCCCUACUCCUUUGGCUGUCCUGCACUCGGCCCCAUCACCGAACAACUUCGGCACUGGCGGCGCUUGGUACAUGGACUCGGGCGCCAUCGCCCACAUGACAUCUCAUCCCGGUACCCUAACCUCCUUCACUCCGGUUCAUACUCCUACUCGCAUCACCGUUGGUAACAGUUCCUCUCUACCUAUCACACAUGUUGGUCGUACUUCGUUUCCUUCCACAUAUAUGCCUGUCACCAUGACUAAUGUUCUUGUUUCUCCUGAUUUAGUUACGAACCUUGUCUCUGUUCGUCGUCUUGCUCGUGAGAAUCCCAUUACCGUUGAAUUUGUCGGUUUUUCUGUGAAGGAUGCCCGUACUCGGAUGGUCCUUCACCGUUGUGAUAGUCCUGACGAGCACUAUCCGGUGCACUCCUCCGCCACCGCCUACACCACCCAAGUCGCCCCCGCCGCAGGUGUCGACCUUUGGCAUGCUUGUUUGGGACACCCGAACCCCACCACUUUGCGUCAAAUUCUUCAGGUUUUUCAUUCUCGUGCAAUAAGAUCGACGACCAUACUUGUGAGGCUUGUCGUAUUGGCAAGCACGUUGGUCUUCCCUUUAGCGCCUCUACCACUAUUUCCACUUUUCCAUUUCAGUUAUUGCAUAGUGAUGUUUGGACAUCCCCGGUUACGAGCAACACGGGCUACCUAUACUAUUUGGUGAUCUUAGAUGAUUUCUCUCAUUAUGUGUGGACAUUUCCUCUUUGUCGCAUGUCCGACGCCCUUUCCACACUCACCGCCUUUUAUUCCUAUGUCACCACACAGUUAGGUCGUCCUAUCCUUGCAUUACAAACUGACAACGGAAAGGUGUUUGACAACGUCACUGUUCGUAACCUUCUAGCCUCUCACGGCACUAUCUUCCGCCUCACUUGUCCCUACACGUCCCAACAAAAUGGCCGUGCUGAGCGUAUCCUUCGCACUCUUAACGACUGCGUCCGCAUGCUGCUCUUUCACUCUAACGUGCCUCCGGGGUUUUGGCCGGACGCUCUCGCCACCGCCACCCUCCUCAUCAACAUCCGUCCGUGUCGCCCACACUUGAACUAUGCCCCUCACCAUCUCCUCCUUGGUGCGCCCCCAUCUUAUGAUGGCCUUCACAUCUUUGGUUGUCUCUGCUGUCUUAGCAUCGCCGCCACGGCGCCUCAUAAGCUUGCACCUCGCUUCGUCGGUUGCAUCUUCCUCGGCUACCUACCGAACACCAAAGGAUACCGCUGCUACGAUCCCGUCUCACAUCGUGUAUUCACCUCCCGGCACGUUUACUUUGAUGAGAAGGUGUUUCCAUUUCAAGAGGUACCUUCCGUCGCCCCGUCACCGCCGGCAACCGGCGGCCCUCCAGCGACCCCGUCAGGUGGAUGGCCCUGCUCGGUUCUUGGACCGCCUCCGGGCUUCGGCGGUCCUCGCACCGCGGGACGAGCUCUGCCUCACGCCCCCACACCGCCCUCGCCGACUCCGUCAGGGGCCUCGGGAUAGCCCGCCUCGCCGGCCGCCGCCUCGCCGGCAUCUUUGCUGGCAGCCGCUGCGUCGCUGGCCUCUUCGACGGUCGCCCCGUCGCCGGUAUCUUCACCGGCCACCUCGGGCGCCUCGCCGGCUGCUUCGCCAGCUGCGUCGCCGGCCGCUUCGCCGACCGUCUCGCCGCCCGCCUCGUCGGUCGUCCCGGCGCUGCCGUCUCGCCCCAUCACACGGGCCCGCACUGGCGUUCACCGUCCGAGUCUGCGGUACUCGAGCGACGAGUACCUCCUCGCCACCUCCACCGCGGAGCCGUCCCCUAUUCCUGCGUCCGCUGGCGCCGCCCAUCGUGAUCCUCACUGGCUUGCCGUGAUGCAGGAAGAGUUGGACGCUCUCCAACCGAACCGCACCUGGACACUGGUUUCCCCACCUCCUCGCGCCAAUGUCAUCAGCGGCAAGUGGGUCUUUCGUCACAAGACCCGCUCGGAUGGUACACUUGAGUGCUACAAGGCUCGUUGGGUGGUUUGUGGUUUUCGACAGCGCGUUGGAGUUGACUUCACUGAGACAUUUAUACCGGUUGUCAAACCGGGCACGAUCCGCACCGUCCUCCAGCUUGCCGUGUCCCAAGGCUGGCCAGUUCAUCAGAUGGAUGUCUCCAACGCCUUCCUCCACGGCCAUCUUGAGGAGCAGGUUUAUUGUGAGCAGCCCACCGGUUUCGUCGAUGCAUCUCUUCCUGGCCAUGUGUGUUUGCUGUCCCGGUCUCUCUACGGGCUCAAGCAAGCGCCUCGCGCCUGGUACCAGUGGAUCGCCGGGUUUCUUUAGACACUGGGCUUCAGCGUCACUCGCUCGGACGCCUCACUGUUUGUCUACCGCCAUGGUGACACGAGUGCAUAUUUGCUCCUCUACGUCGACAACAUCAUCCUGACGGCCUCCUCCGCAACUCUUCUUCAGCAGAUUACUCUCCGGCUGCAUGACGAGUUCGCCACCAAGGACUUGGGUGCUCUACAUUAUUUCCUUGGCAUUGAGGUUGUUCGGCAACCGGAUGGCUUCUUUCUUCAUCAACAGAAGUAUGCGCACGAGCUCCUUGAGCGUGCAUGCUCAACUGUCACCCUGUUGCUACUCCUGUUGACACGAAGGCCAAGGUUUCUGCUCUUGAGGGCUCGCCAGCGUCGGAUGCUCCCUUCUACCGGUCCAUUGUCGGUGCACUUCAGUAUCUGACUCUCACCCGACCGGAUCUACAGUAUGCUGUUCAGCAGGUGUGUCUCCACAUGCACACCCCUCAUGACUCCCAUUGGACUCUCGUGAAGCGGAUCCUCCGUUACAUUCGCGGCACGAUGACUCUUGGGCUCACCCUCACAGCGUCCACACUUCUCUGGAGAUGGUGGCCUACUCCGAUGCGGACUGGGCUGGCUGCCCCGACACCCGUCGGUCCACCUCUGGCUAUUGCGUUUACCUCGGUCCUUCACUCGUCUCGUGGUCGUCCAAGCGACAACCCACGGUAUCGCGCUCCAGCGCGGAGGUUGAGUACCGAGCUGUGGCUAACGCUAUUGCCGAGUGCACCUGGCUACGACAGUUACUUUAGGAGCUGCAUCACGAUGUCUCCCAGGCUACAGUUGUCUACUACGACAACGUCUCUGCGGUGUACCUCUCUGCCAACCCCGUUCAUCAUCGCCGGACUAAGCACAUUGAGCUGGACAUUCACUUUGUGCGCGAGCAGGUGGCCCUUGGAUGUAUUCGGGUCCUCCAUGUUCCGACUGCACAACAGUUCGCCGAUGUGAUGACGAAGGGACUGCCGACAUCCACCUUCGAGGAGUUUUGUUCCAGUCUCUGCAUCACUGGCGCCGCUUCGACUGCGGGGGGUGUUGAGUAUAUUGUGUACGUGUAUAUUGUGUAUUGGGCCCACCUCCUGUUUACUCUGUAUAGUUGAGUUUGAUGGCCCCCCUCUGCACUGAUAUAUACGUGUGUGGUGCAUCGAUCAAUGCAUUGUGUUUGCACAACCUAUACUUCAUAUUCUACAUUCACCAAGGGGCUGCCAUCAGCUAGCCUGAACGUCUUNNNNNNNNNNNNNNNNNNNNNNNNNNNNNNNNNNNNNNNNNNNNNNNNNNNNNNNNNNNNNNNNNNNNNNNNNNNNNNNNNNNNNNNNNNNNNNNNNNNNNNNNNNNNNNNNNNNNNNNNNNNNNNNNNNNNNNNNNNNNNNNNNNNNNNNNNNNNNNNNNNNNNNNNNNNNNNNNNNNNNNNNNNNNNNNNNNNNNNNNNNNNNNNNNNNNNNNNNNNNNNNNNNNNNNNNNNNNNNNNNNNNNNNNNNNNNNNNNNNNNNNNNNNNNNNNNNNNNNNNNNNNNNNNNNNNNNNNNNNNNNNNNNNNNNNNNNNNNNNNNNNGACACAAGUAUGUACCGAGUCUCUGGGCUACUCUCUCUCUGCAUAUGUAACAGCCUAUGGCAAUGGAAUACAAUAGCGGCUCACAUCUACUGUUCUACUAAAACAUGGCUGUAUCGGAUCAAAUUUCCACAUGAUAUGUCACCAAGUUCUCAAUAAUUCACGAGCAACCGCCUCGGGACCCUUCUCUCUGGAAUUUGUAGAAUGAGACUAUGUGCUUCUCAUCCUUCCGCUAGUCAAGCCAAUGGUUUCCAUCGCCUCCAAACCUUGGAUGUAGGUUUGGCACGUCGAUAUGUUGGGAUGCAUCGUCGUGUCGGCUUUGGGCUUUUCUGGUGCUGACACCAGGACCUGUAAGGAGUAAGAUGUUGUGCUUGAAAUAAGGGUCUCUCGACCCUCGCUCUAUCUCGUCGAAGGCUUAGCCGACACUACAAAUGGCAUGUAGAGUUUGACUUUUUAGCAACAGUUGACCGACGAUUUGGCAUGCUGCGGUUGCGACGGCAAGCCACUGGGGAAGGACAUCGGCAAUCAUUAUUGCAGGCUAGACGAUGAGGCAGAAAAAUAUUGCCGCCUCUUUGCGGUGGUUUGGCUUCAUCCACAAAUCCAGCGCUGAAGAGGCUUGGGAAGCAAGUCCGAAGCCUUUGGCCGAUAUUUUUAAUCGAUCAAGAUCCAGUUCUUCUGAUCUCGUGGCUGCUGCGGUUCACUAAUGCUUCUAGGCAAGGUGUUUCAGUACAUCCAAGGGCUCAGUUCGGCCAGCGGUGCUCUCCUUCUUCAGCGACGUCGAAGGACUUGGGUGCUUGGUGGGCAUGACGAAGAUGGAGCCCUCCAAGGACCCUUUUGUGUUUUCUGUUUUCUAUGGGUCUUGGCUACUGUGUUGUUACUAUUCGAUAGUGUCAUUGCUUGUAUCCUUCUCAGGUUUCUCUACUUCUAUGCGUAUUUGCAAUAUUCCUUACUCAUAUUAAUACAAGUAACGUAUGCCUAUGGUUGUACGUGCUCAAAAGAAGACUCAAAGCUUCAUCCUCUUUCCACGUGCACCCAACUCACCUGCUUCUAUAUCUCUCGGCAAAAUAAAAUUGACAUGUCUAUUUUAUAUAAUACUUUUAUUGUGACCAUAGGUCAGCCUAGAAUUACCGCAAAAUAAUUUCAAAAAGGAGAAAGAAUGAGCAGAGUAGAUCUGCAGCGACCUGUCUGACUUGUGCUUUUUUUUUGCGGGAAGUCUGAUUUGUGGUUUAAACUACCAAUAUUUGCCAUUUCCUAUUCAUAUAAAUGUGUUAUCCAUAUAUAAAUUAAUUGGGCACCGCCAACGCAAUGUCCAAGGCCAAGUUGCUCUGAAUUAAUAAAAUUGUUAAAACAGCAAUGUAUCAAGGGUGUGCAAAUGAAAUGAACAUAAAUAAAAUGACAGUAGGUAGUAUGCAAUUGAAACUAUGCUUAGUGGUACAUUUUUUUACUUUUGACAUCUUUCAUUCAUACAUUAGUUAGUGUUCAGCUCUAGUGUGAAAUUAUGCUUCAUCUGCUAUGAGCAUCUAUAAAUGGACUUGGCUCAUACAAAUUCCGAGUUCAGAAACUAAGUAUGCAGCUAUAGCCAUUGAACGCCCGCAUCAUCAAAUCUGCUUAAAGUGGAGAUGCGAAGGCGCAAAGCUAAUGAUAACCCUGUAUGUCCAUCAAUCAUGUUUAGUAAUACUGAACAUAAAUAAAAUGACAGUAGGUAGGAUGCAAAUGGAACUAUGCUUAGUGGUGAUAGUAAUACGUAGCCGGUGAUCAUGUAAACACUAGCUUUUGGUACGCACUGAAAUCACUGCCCAAGAUAUGGGGAUCAAUAGUACACUUUUUAAUCUGUGGAUAGAACUGGACCUUGUUGCUCUCCAUGUCCACACGAACCAAAUACUGGCGUAGUUUGGACCUGCCCGGGCGCUGUAGUGUAUCAUCGGCCACCCUGAUCAGUUCGGUGAAGACUAGGUAGAUGACGCCGUCUUCAUGAGUGCUCAGGAUAGGGAACGACGGAGCAAUCAUUGCCAUGCCGGUAGAAUGGUAGGACACAUUCUCCCAUAUGUUCUCAACAUUGUACUUGCUGCUUAUUUUCCAGUCUGACAGGUCAGGCGAGAGAGUAUAGACGGUGAGAUCAAAGCCUUUGCCCGGCACUUGUUCAACAUUGCCAUCCAUGCGGACGAGCUUGAUGGUGUCGCCAACACAUGCCAUGGAACGGAACUUCUCGGGGCAGAGGUGGUACCGAUUCCAGGGGCUGCUGGUAUCGUAGGAUGGACAAUCUGCGGGCAACGCGACGAAACGGAGCUCCGGGCUGUCCGAGUUGCUGCACUCUUUGCCCAGAUCACACACCACCAUGCCACCGAGCAGCUCCACCCAGCAGAGGAUUGAUCCCCGAUAAGAGAAACACAAGUGAGAGCAGAAUGCCGGCGGAAGGUGCAGGCGCGCGGGCUGCAAGGUGCUGAAAUUUGAGAUGGGCUCUAGGCCCAUGUAGCAAUUUCUGAAAAAUCACUAAGGGCCCAUGUGGGUUAUAUGGCACUAGGUAUAGUGGGAAGUUUAGUCCCACCCUAGAAGUGGAAGAGGAGUUGGACCUCCUUAUAAGGGUUCUGUUCUACAUGCUAUUGGAGCUUGAGAAGAGAAGAGGCCCUCGCGCACUCCUCCUCCUCCGCCGCCCGCCGCGCCGCGGGUUGCGGGAUUGAGCCGAGCCGAGCUCACGUGGGUUGACGGGAGAGCAGGUCGUACGGAGAAAGCUGAAGCUGACAAGAAGGCCGCCGAGGACGCCGCUGCUGCUACCAAAGCCGCGGCCUCUGCAUGGCCUACUGAAGGGUAUAACUCGUUUAUCCCGCUCCUACUGUUUUUUGUUUUAGCCAUGCUAGCGUUAUACGUAGAUCUUUCUGCAAUUAGCGUAGUAUGUGCUAGUUUGACUGAAUAUCAGUAUGCGAUUAUAUGUGUCAAUGCCAUGCUAGUGAUUUACUCGUGGAUUAAUUUAAUUGAGAAAUUGCCUAUUUACUCAACAAUCCAAAAACCUAUUCUGUGUAGGAAUUUUUCGGCAAGUGGCUUUGCCGCUGCACUGAAACCGGAUAAGUUUACCGGUACAUACUUUAAGCGUUGGCAGACUAAGACCACGUUAUGGCUCACGGCUAUGAACGUGUUCUGGGUCACCGGUGUCUCCACGGGAACGAUUGCUCCUAAACAGGAGAAGGCGUUCAAGGAGGCUACCGUUAUGUUUCUCGGAGCAGUUCUUAGCGUGAUCGGAGACAAACUGGUCGACGCAUAUUUACAUGUGCAUGUCGCCAAGGACUUGUGGGAGGCGCUCGAAUCUAAGUUCGGGGCAGCCGAUGGCGGAAGCGAGAUGUAUAUUAUAGAGCAGUUCCAUGAUUACAAGGUGGUUGAAAACCAUCCUGUGUUGGAGCAGGCUCAUGAGAUAAUAUGCAUUGUUAAGGAGCUUGAACUUCUUAAGUGCGAGUUACCGGGCAAGUUUGUCGCGGGCUGCAUAAUCGCUAAGCUCCCUAAUUCCUGGAGGAACUUUGCCACCACUCUGAAACAUCAGAGGCGUGAAUUCUCUGUGGAGGAUGUCAUUGGCCAUCUGAGUGUUGAGCAGAAUUCAAGGGCAAAGGACUCGCACGGAAAAGGGGCCGAAGGGACUUCUGUCGCCAACAUGGUGAACCAGAAGAACUUCAACUCCCACAAGCCCAAGGGAAAGAACGGUGUCCAACACAAUACCGACUUUAAGAAGAAGGGUAAGAAGACCUGCAGGAAGAACAAGAAGGACGAGGGCUGCUUUAUUUGUGGUUCGGUUGAACAUUGGGCCAACAAGUGCCCAAACAAGUAUAAGAAGUCAGGACAGGACUCCAAGUCCGUCAAGAUCACCACGAAACCCUAUUUCCACCGCCGCAACCUUCUGUACCCGUGAGAUCCCAUCUUCGGGCCUUUUUCGGUGCUCUGCCGGAGGGGGAAUCGAUCACGGGGGGCUUCUACAUCAACACCAUAGCCUCUACGAUGAUGUGUGAGUAGUUUACCACAGACCUUCGGGUCCAUAGUUAUUAGCUAGAUGGCUUCUUCUCUCUCUUUGGAUCUCAAUACAAAGUUCUCCUCGAUUCUCUUGGAGAUCUAUUCGAUGUAACUCUUUUUACGGUGUGUUUGUCGAGAUCCGAUGAAUUGUGGGUUUAUGAUCAAGAUUAUCUAUGAACAAUAUUUGAUUCUUCUCUGAAUUCUUAUAUGCAUGAUUUGAUAUCUUUGCAAGUCUCUUCGAAUUAUCAGUUUGGUUUGGCCUACUAGAUUGAUCUUUCUUGCAAUGGGAGAAGUGCUUAGCUUUGGGUUCAAUCUUGCGGUGUCCUUUCCCAGUGACAGCAGGGGCAGCAAGGCACGUGUUGUAUUGUUGCCAUCGAGGAUAAAAAUAUGGGGUUUAUAUCAUAUUGCUUGAGUUUAUCCCUCUACCUCAUGUCAUCUUGCCUAAAGCGUUACUCUGUUCUUAUGAACUUAAUACUCUAGAUGCAUGCUGGAUAGCGGUCGAUGUGUGGAGUAAUAGUAGUAGAUGCAGAAUCGUUUCGGUCUACUUGUCACGGACGUGAUGCCUAUAUACAUGAUCAUGCCUAGAUAUUCUCAUAACUAUGUGCUUUUCUAUAAAUUGCUCGGCAGUAAUUUGUUCUCCCACCGUAAUACAUGCUAUCUUGAGAGAAGCCACUAGUGAAACCUAUGGCCCCCGGGUCUAUUUUCUAUCAUAUUAAUUUCCUUUCAAUUAGCUAUUUUUAUCAUCGUUUAUUUUGCAAUCUUUACUUUCCAAUCUAUACAACAAAAAUACCAAAAAUAUUUAUCUUAUUAUCUUUAUCAGAUCUCACUUUUGCAAGUGGCCGUGAAGGGAUUGACAACCCCUUUAUCACGUUGGUUGCAAGGUUCUUGAUUGUUUGUGCAGGUACGAGGGAUUUGCGUGUUGUCUCCUACUGGAUUGAUACCUUGGUUCUCAAAAACGGAGGGAAAUACUUACGCUACUUUGUGGCAUCACCCUUUCCUCUUCAAGGGAAAACCAACGCAUGCUCAAGAGGUAGCAUGGAGCAGUUUGGCAUUGAGGACUUGAUCACUUUCCACCUGGACUUUGACCCUGAGAUUAUGGCUCGGUUCUUUGCUUCGGUCCACUUCCAUACUGAUGAGGAACGGACCAUGACAUGGAUGACCAAUGGACAACAGAUGACUGCUAAGUGGAAGGAGUUCAUGGAUUUGCUACUGGUUCGUGAUGAGGGGCUCAACAAGCCCGUUGGUGUUCGCCCUCAUGCCAACCCCGAGUCAGCCAGCAAGAACAAGCUUCAACCCUACUAUGUUGAGAAGAAGCUUCCCAGUGGCAAGAAGGCGUGGGUGCUGAACUCAUUCCUUGACAUCACGCAUCGGAUCUUCCACAACUCCCUCUUUCCGCGCAUUGGUGACAAGGACAAGGUGCAUGACUAUCUCAUGGAUAUGAUGCUCAUCUGUGAGGAGGCGCGUCGUGCUCAGACGCAACCACUUGAUGUCUCACAUAUCAUGUGGUGUGAGCUACAGUUUGCGGUGUUCAACCGUAAGGUACCAAUCUAUGGACCUUACCUGUUUCACUUGAUCUCGAGGACUUGGGAGAAGCUCUAUCCCCAAGAUGAGUUUGCUGCCCCCGGCUGGAUUCGUCAUGAGCCCAUCAAGCUCCGCAUCAAGCCUCAGUGGGCUAACACCACUACCCGUGCUGAGGCAGAGGCUGCUCAGAUGGACGUGGAUGAGGAUGAGAUUGAGGAGGAGGAAGCGGAUGAGGACAGCUCUGCUGGGUAUGCUCCUCCCUCUACUGAGCCCUCAUGGGAUAAGAAGCUGAAGGCCAAGAUGAAGGCCUUGUUCUGCAUGCAAGCCAAGGGGCAGUACAGGACCCAUGUUGCUUCCAAGGAGAGUCGCCGCCGCGACAAGAGGAUCUUGAGGACGUUUGGCGAGGAGAUAUCCAGCGGGUCCGAGAAGCACAUCACCCCAGAGGCAGAAUGGAUGGCGAAGUAGGGCUAUCAGUGGACUGAAUCUGAGGAGGAGCCCAUCCCCGCUGCCGAGUCCGACGAGGAGCGUGACGAGUGAUCGCUUCAGCUUGGGCUACCACCUGUGUCGUAGGUGUCCUCUCUGCCUUUUUGGUGUCUCGAUGCCAAAGGGGGAGAGAGAGUAGGAUUUGCGAGUCGUGUGUCGUGUUGUGUCGUGUUGUCUCACUUUGUCGCUUUGCUUUCGUUUUGUUGGACCUCAUUUGCUUUGGUUUGGCUUGUCCUCGUGAGUCGUAUUUCCUUAUCAUAUGGUGUAAGACAUAUGCACUCUAGCGUAUCUUUUUGUCUUUCAUGCUUAGUAGCCCGUGAGCUUAUGCUAUCUUGUGCCAGUUACUCUAUGCUCAUGUUUAUUAUCUUGUCUCCUUGCUUAGUAUUAGUUAUUUUAUUGCAAGAUAUGCCUCAUCUAUAAAAUAUAGGGGGAGUGUUGAUCCUAGUAUGUGUGCCGUGCAGUCCAAAGCAUUUCUCGAGAGUGCACACGUCUAGGGGGAGCUCGUCUAUAUUUUAUAGAUGUUGCAUUUGCCUAUGCUUCAUUUUAUAUCUCUAUGUGCAAAUCCCGUAUUGUCAUCAAUCCACCAAAAAGGGGGAGAUUGUAAGGGCAUAUUUAUCCCUUAGUAGUUUUGGUGAUUGAUGACAAUGCUUUUGCGGACUAAUCGUGUGCACUGAGCAUUUCAGAUAUAUCAUGCCUAAGCACAAGACGAUUUGGUGCCCCUCGAAGCUCAUUGAAGACGGCGUUUCUCUACGUUUCUUUUCGGUGGAUUUGAGUCGUAGGAAAGCCGUACUAUUAAGAGGGGGUCCGCGUUGGAAAGGUUUGGGUGGAAUCAUCACGUACACGUCUGUUCCUUUCUGCACCACCUUUCCUUUGGCUCUUUGGAGCAUCCUCCGUUUCUCUGUAUCUUUGCAAAAUGAAGGACUCCUAGUGUUGCUGAACUAGGGCAUGCGGUAGUACUGCUGCACAGAGCGGUAGUACCGCAGGCCCCUACGGUAGUACCGGCCAUGGGCGCGGUAGCUAGUACCGCAGGUGCUCGCGGUAGUACCGCUUCUUGGACGCGGUAGUACCGUGGCCUCAGGCCUGCACAGUAGCUCGAGCGGAAGUAGGGGCGGAUGUAAUUUUCUACAUCCGCGCCCUACGCGGUAGUACCGCUCCUGGCUUGCAGUAGUACCGUGUCGGAUUUUUGCACAGAUCAAAACUCAGCGGAAGUAGCCACGGAUGUAUUUUAUAUGUCCAUGCCUUCCCAGCCUAGACUAUUCCUGCCUUGUGGUAGUACCGCAAGGGGGCGCGGUAGUACCGCGCCAGCGGUUCUACCGCUCUAUGCCUUAUCACAUCAGGACUAGUCUUAGGUCCUGCCGCGCCAGCGGUAGUACCGUGGUGCCUCGCGGUAGUACCACGGGCCCUUGCGGUAGUACCGCUUGUAUCGUGUGGUAGUACCGCUCGUCGCGGGCUGAGUUAGUGGAUAACGGUUGGAUUUGUUCUUUCACUAUAAAAGGGGAGUCUUCUUCUCCAAGUUGACCACAUCUUCCACUCCCAAGCUCCAUUGUUGCUCUAAGCUCCAUUUUUGCCCGAUCCCUCUCCCUAGCCAAUCAAACUUGUUGAUUUUCUAGGGAUUGGUUGAGGAGGCACCGGUCUGCACUUCCACCAAGAGAAAUUUGAUUCCCCCCACUAAUCCCUUGCGAAUCUUGUUACUCUUGGGUGUUUGAGCACCCUAGACGGUUGAGGUCACUGCGGAGCCAUAUUCCAUUGUGGUGAAGCUUCGUGGUGUCGUUGGGAGCCUCCAAUUAAGUUGUGGAGAUUGCCCCAACCUUGUUUGUAAAGGUCCGGUCGUCGCCUUCAAGGGCACCAAUAGUGGAAUCACGGCAUCUCGCAUUGUGUGAGGGCGUGAGGAGAAUACGGUGGCCCUAGUGGCUUCUUGGGGUGCAUUGUGCCUCCACACCGCUCCAACGGAGACGUACUUCCCCUCAAAAGGAAGGAACUUCUGUAACACAUCCUCGUCUUCACCGGCUCCACUCUUGGUUAUCUCGUACCUCUACUUGUGCAAGCUUAUAUUUCGUUGGAUCUCUUGCUUGCUUGUGUGCUUGUUGUUGUUACAUCAUAUAGGUUGCUCACCUAGUUGCACAUCUAGACAACCUACUUUGAUGCAAAGUUUAAAUUGGUAAAGAAAAGCUAAAAAAUGUUAGUUCCCUAUUCACCCCCCCCCUCUAGUCAACUAUAUCGAUCCUUUCAUCCAGUUACAAGUCCACCUUUCACUCGCAACCGGUUUGAUGUUUCUUUUAUUUUAUAAUUAGGUUCGAGUCUUUUUUUUGCAUUAGUUGCAAGUCCACCUUAACGUGCAACUAGGUCUGAUUUUUUUUCCUCAGUUGCAAGUCCACCAUUGACUCGUAACUAGGUGUUGAUUGUUUUGGGUCCCAGUUUGCAAGUUAACAUCGACUCGCAACUGGGCCCGCUCCUAUUUUAACCAUUGACUCAAAGAUGGGCUCUCGAUCCUUUUCUUUUCCGUGGUUGCAACUCAGCCAACUACUUGCAACUGGGCUCGAGCCUUCUUUCGUCCCAUUUGCAAGUUCUCCACUGACAUGCAACUGGACCCUUGAUCCUUUUUGCCCUAGUUGCAAGUCCACUCUUGACUCGCAACUAGGUGUUGACUUUUUUUGUCGCAAUCUCAAGUGAAUCAUCGACUCGCAACUAGGCCCGCCCCUUUUUUAUCCCAAUUACAAGACAACCAUCAGCUCAAACUGGGCUCUUGAUCCUUUUCUUUACAGCAGCUGCAAGCCAACCAACGACUUGUAACUAGGCCCGGGCCUUUUUUCAACCUAGUUGCAAGUCCUCUGUUAACAUGCAACUGGGCUCUUCAUCCUUUUUUGGCCCUAGUUGUAAGUCCACCCUUGACUUGCAAUUCGGCCACUCAAUUGCAAGUCCAACAUCGACUCAUAACUGGGCCCUUCAUCCUUUUUUGCCCUAGUUGUAAGUCCACCCUUGACUUGCAAUUCGGCCCGACGUAUUUUACCCAAUUGCAAGUCCAACAUCAACUCGUAAUUGGGCCCUUCAUCCCUUUUUUGCCCUAUUUGUAAGUCCACCCUUGACUUGCAAUUCAGCCCGACAUUUUUAACUCAAUUGCAAGUCCAACAUCGACUAGCAACUGGGCUGACCCUUUUAUUUGCCCGAGUUGUCCACCAUUAACAUGCAACUGGGCUCUUUGACCUUUUUCCCCUAGUUUGCAACUCCAUUAUUUGACUCACAACUGAGCCUAAAUUUGUUUCCUCGGUUGCAAGUCCACUGUCGACUCGUAAAUGGGGCUGAUUUUUUUUUGCCUCUUACGUGACUAAGCCCUACAAUUCAUUUGUUGAAUGUGGAAGUUAUUUGUUAUGGGUAGGAUACAUAGGGAAGGAAGCAUGUCAUCACACCAGUACAUGCAUUAGCUGAUCCUUCGAUGAGCUUUGCAUGUUUGUGCAUAUCAAGGUACGUACUAGCACAUGCACAUAUCCAACGCAAGGCAGAAAAGGCUUGCACGACAAUUAGCGCAUACAAGUACACACUAGAAAACUAAAAAGGUUCACUGUACACUAAAAAAUGUCCAGUUUGUUAAAGAAAAUGUUUAUCGUAUAUAUAAAAAGUUCAUCCUACACUACAAAACUUUAGUUUGUUUAUAAGAAAUGCUCUGAAUGUUUGAAACAUGCUCCCAUUUUAAAAAAUUAUUCACAAAUUCAAAAGGUGUUCAUGUUUUCAUAAAACAUUUCAUUUUUUUGAAUUUUUUUGGGAAUUUCAAGAAAUGUGUCCAUUUUCAAAAUUUGUCCGUGUUUUCAGAAAAUGUCCAGAAUUUUCAAAAAAAUUCGCAUUUAAAAGUAUUUUCAGGAUAUAAAAAAUUGUUCGCGUUUCCAAAACUUCUCGUGUUUCAAAAAGUGUUUGGAAUUAUAUUUUUGUUCAGAAUUUUCAAAAAAAAAACUUGAAGUUCCAAAAAUUCUUUCCGUUUAAAAAAAAUUCGGCAUUUUCAAAAUUAUUCACAAUUUUUCAAUAAAUUGUUCAGACAAGGUUUCAUGCAGCAUUGAGUUGUUAAAUAUUCGCGUUGAUCUUUUGCCACCAACAUUCAUUAGUUCCAGUUUAGGUGCAAGAUGGUUGAGAGUUCUAUUGUCGUUAGGUGCGCCAAUUUUUUCUGUCUUUUUCCCAAAACUGGGCUGGACAAUAAAAAAACACAACAAACAGCGGUUGGGCUGGAAAUCAAAAAAACGAGGCUUUGCUAAAAGAUGACAGGCUUAAACUUGGGCCGAACUGCAGGCCCUCCUCGUGUGUCCACCGUCUCGCCCACCCUUCUUGACGGCACGCCGGUUUCCCUGCUAGUAUUUUAGAUCUGGGCUUCUCCUUCCUCGCUCGAUCCCCAAAUCAAAUCGCUGCCUGCUGCUUCCUCCACCCCAACCCUAACCCUAGCGGCGCCGCCAUCCUCGAUCCCCAAAUCCCUUCUCCCUCCACCAAACCCUAAUCCAAAGCUAGCUAGCCGCCAUGGCCCGUUCCAUGGUUCUGCUCGCCCGCGAGAUUGAUUUCAGCCCCCACGACGAGGGCCGACAGUUCCGGUGGGGGUUCUAUGAAGGAAUGCUGCCAACCCGCAAAGCGAUGAGGGAGGAUGUCAUCAGGUACCUGCGGACCUUCAAGGCCCGCGCAGUCGUCGACAAUCCGCCGGAGCUCUCCUUCCUCCACAUACUGGUGCCGCCGCAAUCCCGACCGCUCCCGCCGACAUGCAUGGACCUGGACUCGGCCCGCAUCUCCAGCACGGACAAGAACCUGGUCGCCCUUUAUGCCGGAGGGUACCGCCCUGGCUCCGAUUUGCUGGGAGGCUAUCUCAUCUACGACGCCAGCAACGACUCCCUCUCCGUCAUCCCCCCUCUUCCCUCCGACGACUUGCGUGGAGCCAUGGGGCACCAGUCGGCCGUCAUCAUGUGCGACCCCCAUGGGGAGGGCUACCUUCUUGCCGAGCUCAUCAAGAAAGGCGGGGGUCUGGCUGGGGUCUGGCUGUGGAAGUCGUCCGCCCCAGAACCGAAAUGGGUCUCGGUACCCGGGAGCCAUCCCCUUCCACCCAGCAGAUUCACCGUUGACUCGUGCUUCUCUUACCGGGGCUCUACCCUUUGCUGGGUGGAUCUGCUCAAAGGCAUGUUGCUCUGUGAUCUCAACCAAGACUGCGACAACAAGUUCAGCUUUAUCAAGCUGCCACAAGACUGUCCAGCCCUGGAUUGGAACUUAAAGGAGUUCAGCUUUGUCAAGCUGCCACAAGACUGUCCAGCCCUGGAUAGGAACUUAGAGGAGUCCAGCUAUAUCAUCAAGUUCUGCACCCGCCCUGAGGAGUUCCGUUCCAUGGCCUGUGUUUGUGACCACAUCAAGCUUGUCUCCUUGGAUGAAUCUGGAUUGGAACUCUCGCUCUGGACUCUGUUGACUGAUCACUCACACUGGAUCAAAACCUCCAAGUACAAUGUUGAUAAAAUCUGGGCAAACGUCAACUAUCAGUCUACUGUUUUGAGACAGCUUAUUCCGUCUCUUCCUGUCCUGAGCAUCCAUGAAGACGGGGUUGUCUACUUGGUCGUGAAUGAUGAAAGCAUCGUGGACCGUCGACUAGAGCAUAAAGGCCAGUAUUUGCUUCGUGUUGACAUGAAGAAUAACGAGGUCCAGAUCUCUCCACAGCCUACAAGGCGUAUUUGUUACCAACUCUUUGCCAGCGAGUUCAGUGCGUACCGACAGCAUUUACAGGAUCGACCGGUACUACCACCACCACUAAGCAUAGUUUCAUUUGCAUACUACUGUCAUUUUAUUUAUAUUCGCCAUCACUGAACAUGCUUUCAUUUCUGUGCUACUGUAAUUAUGCCUAGGUUUUAAAAUGAUUAACAUUCUAAUGCUUGUUUAUCACAUCCACUUUGCUUCAUACUUGCUAAUUGAAAAGGAUAUUUGGCCACCUCAUCAGGUUUAAGAGUAGAUGCCCGAUAUUGAUGCUCAUCCGCAGUCAUGAUUCUGAAAUCAUUUUUUUACUACAAAAUUACUCUGCCCCCUUGUCAUAUUAGGACUUGCACAUCAUGAUGACACUCCUUUGCAUGUUUCAAUCCUGUUUUUUCUUCUUCCUUUUUUACUUGAUAGAGAUAGUGUUAUCAUUAGCUUCACCUCUCCACUUUAAGAUUUGAUGACCUGGGCAUUCGGUGAAUAUAACAGCGUACCUGUAGUUUGUUUCUGAACUUGGAAUUGCACGAGUCAAGUGCAUUCAAAAAUGAACAUAGCAGAUGAAGCAUAAUUUCAAACCAGAGCUGAACACUGCGAAGUGUCUGAAUUGAAGAUGUCAAAAGUACCAAAAUGUACCUUUGACAAAUAUAGCUGCUUCAACAAUUUUAAUUCACAGCAUCCUGGACUGACCCUAGACAUUUUAUUGGUUUUGCCCAAUUAAUUAAUAUCACUGCAUAUGUACUCAACCUUGCACUUGUUCCUUUUUAAAAUUAUUUUUAGGUAACCUGACAUAUGGUCAUGUUAAUAGUAUUGUUUUUGACAAACAUCUCUGUUUUUUUUUUUGGCCAGAGAGAGAUAGAAGCAAGAGAGUUCGGUGCGAGUGAAAAGACGUUGAAGAUUUGAGAUGUUGGCAACAUAACAUGUGGAACUGGUACUUAAAGUCCACUGGAGACAUUUACUGUUAUCAUUAUCUGAUGUUAGUAGUUAUAAACUGAAUGGUGGGUAGUAUGUGUUUUCACUCAUGGUUUUAUGUCUACUGAGUGGCUUGUUUUGGAUUUGUAACUGGUAAUGGCUUGUUUAUUUUUGUGACUGCUGAUUCUGGCUACAUGCAUGAUUGUGAUUUUCCUGCAUGAAUCCUGCUGGUUUGCUAUAAGUCUGGUUGAUUUAAAAGCAAUUUUAGAUGUUUGGAACUAAUUGAUGCCUCCUUUCUCUGCUGUUUGCUUGCCCAUAAUUUGACUGUUAUUUUGACAGAAAAAGAAUAUACAUUCUGGAUUUUAAAGGCACUUAAUUUGUAAGCUGUUGUAUGUUGCUAGACCUGAGGCAUUGGCUCUUGGUGGGGCAAUUUUGCCCUCUUUGUUAGAUUCCUUUUGUGGCAGGCUGUGAGUUUCAUGGACCCUUUGGACUAGUGAAGGAUUGUUGCGUGGCAUGAUAUGCUUGGGUAAGUGGCUAUUGCAGUCUUGAAAAACUGGUAUGGCCGAGGCCGCCCCGUGCAUGUGUCCCUUGUUCAUUUUCGAGCUUCGACAGACUUGUAGCAUGCAAUCAAAGAAAGAAGAAACGAACCAGCAUAGUUGUAAUUUGUUGUUGGUCGUUGAGCGUGCCUUCUCUAAAAGGAAAAUCUGUCUUGAUGAAACAAAAUAUUUUUGACAAUCAAUACCAUGAUAUAUUUAUAGUAGGGAAUUGUACAUUGCAGAGAUACAUGAGCUAACUACAGCAAUUACAAAAUAAAGUCUAAAAGAAACUAGCAAAUCUUCAGAAUAUUUCUCUGAAGACGGCCGUAAAAGUAAAAAUAAUAGAUAAAUCUUUCAAUGAAGAAGACGGCUAUCAAAACCCUAAACCAAUUUAAUAAAAUACUUGUAUUAUUAAGAACUCCACUCAUAGAUGGCGUUCUCUAUCCCUCCCAAUGCCGGUGAGGCCGGUCAAAGGAGUGGGGACCGAUCUAUCUCCAUCUCUCCCAAUGUCGGCGAGGCCCGUUAAAGGAGGGGGAAUCGAUCUGUCUCCAUCUCUUUGAAUGUCGGUGAGGCCGGUCGAAGGAGGGGGAACCGAUCUAUCUCCAUCCCUCCCAAUGCGGGUGAGGCAGGUCAAAGGAGGGUGGACCGAUGUAUCUCCAUCUCUUCGAAUGCUAGUGAGGCCGGUUGAAGGAGGGGGAACCGAUCUGUCUCCAUCUCUCCGAAUGCCGGUGAGGCCGGUCGAAGGAGGGGGGACCGAUCUAUCUCCAUCCCUCCCAAUGCGGGUGAGGCAGGUCAAAGGAGGGGGGACCGAUGUAUCUCCAUCUCUUCGAAUGCUAGUGAGGCCGGUCGAAGGAGGGGCAACCGAUCUAUCUCCAUCCCUUCCAAUGUCGGUGAGGUCGGUCAAAGGAGGGGGAACCGAUCUAUCUCCAUCCCUCCCAAUGUCGUUGUGGUCGGUCAAAGCAGGGGGACCGAUCUAUGGUGAAGACCCCUCCCAAUGUUGGUGAGCCCGGUCAAAGGAGGGGGAACCGGCAGCCACUAGGUUUGUAAGAGGACCUUCUUGAGCGAGUGAAGGAAACAGUGGACUGACGACCUUUUAAAAUAUUGCUAGCUGAAAGUACUACGCAUGAGAAAAACCAGCAUCUUUCACUUAUUCGUGAAUUUGCAGGCGUCGUACUUGUAUAUAUACUUAGUGCAAUCACGAAACCGAGGAACGAAGCCUUGCGCGCGCGUGUCCAACAGAAGCACAGCACCUGCAUCAGCCUAUAUCUAUACGGAACUGCUAUUUCACAUCUAGAUGUGAAAUAUUAUCUCACAUCUAAGUCUAGAACGACAUCUUGUUUUGUCUAUAAUAUUCGUGCAACUUAAUUGCGUCACGUUGUCAGGCGCAACGGCCCGCGUUCGCGGCCGUGCGAGUAGGGGCGGGCCGUUGCUUGUGUUUCUUUUCGCGAUUUUUGGGCUGGUAGGCCAUUUUGUUUUGUCUCGGUUGUUGCCGUCGCCUCGCAUUUUCCCUUGUUUUUUUUUCAUCGUGAGGGGAGGUGGUGAUUCUCAUUCCUUUGCUCAAUCCACACUCUUUCCUCUCCGAAGGGGUUCCAGGUGACAGCGCUGUCGAGAGUGAGAAGGGAGGAGAGACCCCCGCAGUGAAGUGAGUAAUUUCCCCUUCCUUUUUGUGUUCUUCUUUUGUGUAUCCAUCGAUCUAGGGUUUGCCCCCAAUCGAGAAAUCUUGUGUAUGGAUUCAAUGGGACGGUAGAUUUUUGUGUCUAGAGAUUCAAUUCAGACUUAUGCACUUCGAUGGAAACACAAGAUCUUUGAUCGGGCUAUGUCAUUGUGCGCCUGGGUCGUAUGCUUGCUGAAGGUGGUGGAUUGAAGCUUUGCUUUGGGGAUGAGAAUCCGAAGUUCAACCUUGUGGUGAACUCGCCAUCAUCGGCGCACGUACGGUGAUUCCUUCUUGAAGGGGUAGUGUCGGGGAUAUACCCCGCGGUAUAAACCGCCGGAUGUAUGACCCGGCUGGAGUUUGGCGAUUCACUGGCGACCCGCUUGGACCUGGCGGUUUACGAUUCAUUGGUAAUCCGGCAGGCGGGUUAGAGGAGCGACAAGAACCCGGUGGCCCAACGGGCGGUUCAUGAAAGGCCGGCUCAUGUUAUGGUGGGCCGGUUUAAGAGGAAGACAUAAGGAAUAUUCUCCUACAAAGGAAGCAAGACUAGGACUCCACUUGUAAUAGAGUAAUCCUAAUCCAACUAGGACCAGUCAUGUAAACCGCCUCUUCAACAUAUAUAAGGAGGGGCAGGGCUCCCCAAAGAGGGACAAGCAAGAAGAAACAAUCUCAGGGCUAGACACAAAGAGCCGGUUUACGACGACUCCCUCGUGAUGAUAAUGAGACCUAGCCACAAACAACAUGUAGGGUUAUUACCGGAUGAUGUUUCCCGGGGCCCGAAGCUGUCUAAACCCUUGUCUUGUGUUGCGUCUCUCGGUUCCGCUCAACCCCUCUCAAGCUACCACAUAGAUGCGUUGGCCUCACGACUAAGUCCUCACACUAGGACAUCUGUGUUGGGGAACGUAGCAGAAAUUCAAAAUUUUCUACGCAUCACCAAGAUCAAUCUAUGGAGUAAUCUAGCAACGAGGGAAGGGGAGUGCAUCUACAUACCCUUGUAGAUCGCGAUGCGGAAGCGUUGCAAGAACGCGGAUGAGGGAGUCGUACUCGUAGCGAUUCAGAUCGCGGUUGAUUCCGAUCUAAGCGCCGAACCACGGCGCCUCCGCGUUCAACACACGUGCAGCCCGGUGACGUCUCCCACGCCUUGAUCCAGCAAGGAGAGAGGGAGAGGUUGGGGAAGACUCCAUCCAGCAGCAGCACGAUGGCGUGGUGGUGAUGGAGGAGCGUGGCAAUCCCGCAGGGCUUCGCCAAGCACCGCGGGAGAGGAGGAGGAGGGAGAGGGGUAGGGCUGCGCCAAAAGGAGACGUUCUCGUGUCUGUAUGGCAGCCCAAACCUCAAGUAUAUAUAGGGGAGGGGGAGGGCUGCGCCCCCAUCUAGGGUUCCCCCCCAAGGGGUGCGGCCAGCCCUAGAUCGGGUUUGGGGGGCGGCCAAAGGGGUGGAGAGAGGGGGCGCCCCACUAGAUGGGCCUUAGGCCCAUCUGAGACUAGGGUUUCCCCCCCCUUCCCCCUUUCCUGCGCCCUGGCCUCUUGUGGGGGGGCGCACCAGCCCACCUGGGGCUGGUCCCCUCCCACACUUGGCCCAUGCAGCCCUCUGGGGCUGGUGGCCCCACUUGGUGGACCCCCGGGACCCUCCCGGUGGUCCCGGUACAUUACCGAUAACACCCGAAACUUUUCCGGUCACCAAAACAGGACUUCCCAUAUAUAAAUCUUUACCUCCGGACCAUUCCGGAACUCCUCGUGACGUCCGGGAUCUCAUCCGGGACUCCGAACAACAUUCGGUAACCACGUACAUACUUUCCCUAUAACCCUAGCGUCAUCGAACCUUAAGCGUGUAGACCCUACGGGUUCGGGAACCAUGCAGACAUGACCGAGACGUUCUCCGGUCAAUAACCAACAGCGGGAUCUGGAUACCCAUGUUGGCUCCCACAUGUUCCACGAUGAUCUCAUCGGAUGAACCACGAUGUCGGGGAUUCAAUCAAUCCCGUAUACAAUUCCCUUUGUCCAUCGGUAUGUUACUUGCCCGAGAUUCGAUCGUCGGUAUCCCUAUACCUUGUUCAAUCUCGUUACCGGCAAGUCUCUUUACUCGUUCCGUAACUCACAUCAUCCCGUGAUCAACUCCUUGGUCACAUUGUGCACAUUAUGAUGAUGUCCUACCGAGUGGGCCCAGAGAUACCUGUCCGUUUACACGGAGUGACAAAUCCCAGUCUCGAUUCGUGCCAACCCAACAGACACUUUCGGAGAUACCCGUAGUGCACCUUUAUAGCCACCCAGUUACGUUGUGACGUUUGGCACACCCAAAGCAUUCCUACGGUAUCCGGGAGUUGCACAAUCUCAUGGUCUAAGGAAACGAUACUUGACAUUAGAAAAGCUCUGAGCAAACGAACUACACGAUCUUGUGCUAGGCUUAGGAUUGGGUCUUGUCCAUCACAUCAUUCUCCUAAUGAUGCGAUCCCGUUAUCAACGACAUCCAAUGUCCAUGGUCAGGAAACCGUAACCAUCUAUUGAUCAACGAGCUAGUCAACUAGAGGCUUACUAGGGACAUGGUGUUGUCUAUGUAUCCACACAUGUAUCUGAGUUUCCUAUCAAUACAAUUCUAGCAUGGAUAAUAAACGAUUAUCAUGAACAAGGAAAUAUAAUAAUAACCUAUUUAUUAUUGCCUCUAGGGCAUAUUUCCAACAGUCUCCCACUUGCACUAGAGUCAAUAAUCUAGUUUACAUCACCAUGUGAUUAACACUGACAGGUCACAUCACCAUGUGACCAACAUCCAAAGAGUUUACUAGAGUCAACAAUCUAGUUCACAUCUCUAUGUGAUUAACACUCAAUGAGUUCUGGUUUGAUCAUGUUAUGCUUGUGAGAGAGGUUAUUAGUCAACGGGUCUGAACCUUUCAGAUUCGUGUGUGCUUUACGAAUAUCUAUGUCAUCUUUGUGGAUGCUACCACGCGCUACUUGGAGCCAUUUCAAGUAAUUGCUCUACUAUACGAAUCCGGUUUACUACUCAGAGUCAUCCGGAUUAGUGUCAAAGUUCGCAUCGACGUAACCCUUUACGACGAACUCCUUUUCACCUCCAUAAUCGAGAAAAUUCCUUAGUCCACUAGAUACUAAGGAUAAGUUCGACCGCUGUCAUGUGAUCCAUUCCCGGAUCACUAUUGUACCCCUUGACCAACUCAUGGCAAGGCACACUUCAUGUGCGGUACACUGCAUAGCAUACUGUAGAGCCUAUGUCUGAAGCAUAGGGGACGACCUUCGUCCUUUCUCUCUCUUCUGCUGUGGUCAGGUCUUGAGUCUUACUCAAUACUCACACCUUGUAACACAGCCAAGAACUCCUUUGCUGAUCUAUUUUGAACUCUUUCAAAAUCAUGUCAAGGUGUGCGUUCUUUGAAAGUAUCAUCAGGCGUCUUGAUCUAUCUCUAUAGAUCUUGAUGCCCAAUAUGUAAGCAGCUUUAUCCAGGUCUUCCUUUGAAAAACUCCUUUCAAACAACCCUUUAUGCUUUCCAGAAAUUUUACAUCAUUUCGGAUCAACAAUAUGUCAUUCACAUAUACUUAUCAGAAAUGUUGUAGCGCUCCCACUCACUUUAUUGUAAAUACAAGUUUCUAACAAACUUUGUAUAAACCCAAAAACUUUGAUCACUCCAUCAAAGCGUAUAUUCUGACUCCGAGAUGCUUGCUCUAAUCCAUGGAAGGAUCGCUGGAGCUAGCAUACCUUUUAGCAUCCUUAGGAUCGACAAAACCUUUCUGAUUGUAUCACAUACAACCUUUCCUUACGAAAACUGGUAAGGAAACUUGUUUUGACAUCCAUCUGCCAGAUUUCAUAAAUGCAGCUAAUGCUAACAUGAUUCCGACGGACUUAAGCAUCGCUACGGAUGAGAAAAUCUCAUCGUAGUCAACUCCUUGAACUUGUGAAAAUAGUCUUUGCCACAAGUCGAGCUUCAUAGACGAUAACAUUACCGUCCACGUCCGUCUUCUUCUUAAAGAUCCAUUUAUCUCGGAUUUCAUGGCUUCUAACCAUUUGUCGGAAUAUGGGCCCACCAUCGCUUCUCCACAGCUCAUAGGUUCAUCGUUGUCCAACAACAUGACAUCUCAGACAGGAUCACGUACCACUCUGAAGUAGCACGCAUCCUCGUCGUCCUACAAGGUUUGGUGGUGACUUGAUCCGAAGUUUCAUGAUCACUAUCAUAAGCUUCCACUUCAAUUGGUAUAGGUGCCACAGGAACAACUUCCUGUGCCCUGCUACACACUAGUUGAAGUGACGGUUCAAUAACCUUAUCAAGUCUCCACCAUCCUCCCACUCAAUUCUUUCGAGAGAAACUUUUCCUCGAGAAAGGACUCGUUUCUAGAAGCAAUUACUUUUGCUUCCAGAUCUGAAGUAGGAGGUAUACCCAACUGUUUUGGGUAUUCUAUGAAGACGCAUUUAUCCGCUUUGGGUUCGAGCUUAUCAGCCUGAAACUUUUUCACAUAAGCUUCGCAGCCCCAAACUUUUAAGAAACGACAACUUAGGUUUCUCUAAACGGUGUCGUCUCAACGGAAUUGCGUGGUGCCCCUUUUAAAGUGAAUGCGGUUGUCUCUAAUGCCUAAACCCAUAAACGAUAGUGGUAAUUCGAUAAGAGACAUCAUGGUAUGUACCAUAUCCAAUAGGGUGCAGUUAUGAUGUUCGGACACACCAUCACACUGUGGUGUUCCAGGCGGUAUUAAUUGUGAAACACCUUCCACAAUGUCUUAAUUGUGUGCCAAACUCGUAACUCAGAUAUCUCUAUGACCAUAUCAUAGACAUUUUAUCCUCUUGUCACGACGAUCUUCAACUUCACUCUGAAAUUACUUGAACGUUUCAAUAAUUCAGACUUGUGUUUCAUCAAGUAAAUACACUCAGCAUCUACUCAAAUCAUCUGUGAAGUAAGAACAUAACGAUAUCCACUGCAUGCCUCAGCACUCAUUGGACUGCAUACAUCAAAAUGUAUUACUUCCAAUAAGUUGCUCUCUUGUUCCAUCUUACUGAAAACGAGGCCUUUCAGUCAUCUUGCCCAUGUGGUAUGAUUUGCAUGUCUCAAGUGAUUCAAAAUCAAGUGAGUCCAAACGAUCCAUCUACAUGGAGUUUCUUCAUGCAUAUAUACCAAUAGACAUGGUUCGCAUGUCUCAAUCUUUUCAAAACGAGUGAGUCCAAAGAUCCAUCUACAUGGAGCUUCUUCAUGCGUUCUAUACCAAUAUGACUCAAAUUGCAGUGCCACAAGUAUGUGGUACUAUCAUUACUAUUUUAUAUCUUUUGGCACGAACAUGUGUAUCACUACGAUCGAGAUUCAUUUCAGGUGCAAGACCAUUGAAGGUAUUAUUCAAAUAAACAGAGUAACCAUUAUUCUCCUUAAAUGAAUAACCGUAUUGCGAUAAACAUAAUCCAAUCAUGCUCAACGCAAACACCAAAUCUCGAUGGUAGAGGGAGCAUGCGAUGCUUGAUCACAUCAACCUUGGAAACACUUCCAACACAUAUCGUCAUCUCACCUUUAGCUAGUCUCCAUUUAUUCCGCAGCUUUUAUUUCGUGUUACUAACACUUAGCAACCGAACCGGUAUCUAAUACCCUGGUGCCGCUAGGAGUACUAGUAAAGUACACAUUCAUAUAAUGUAUAUCCAAUAUACUUCUGUCGACCUUGCCUGCCUUCUCAUCUACCAAGUAUCUAUGGUAGUUCCGCUUCAGUGACCGUUCCCCUCAGUACAGAAGCACUUAGUCUCGGGUUUGGGUUCAACCUUGGGAUUCUUCACUAGAGUACCAACUGAUUUGUUGUUUCAUGAAGUAUCCCUUCUUCCCUUGCCCUUCUUGAAACUAGUGGUUUUACUAACCAUCAACAAUUGAUGCUCCUACUUGAUUUCUACUUUCGCGGUGUCAAACAUCGCGAAUAGCUCAAGGAUCAUCAUAUCUAUCCCUGCUUUGUUAUAGUUCAUCACGAAGCUCUACUAGCUUGGUGACAGUGACUAUGGAGAACCAUCACUAUCUCAUCUGGGAGAUAAACUCCCACUCGAUUCAAGCGAUUGUGGUACUCAGACAAUCUGAGCACAUGCUCAACGAUUGAGCUUUUCUCCCUUAGUUUGCAGGCUUAAGAAACUUGUCAGAGGUCUCAUACCUCUUGACGUGGGCACUAGUCCGAAAUCCCAAUUUCAGUCUUCGGAACAUCUCAUAUGUUCUGCGACGUUUCAUAAAAAACGUCUUUGGUGCCACAAUUCUAAUCCGUUAGCAUUACUCACUGAACUAUCACGUAGUCAUCAAAACGUGUAUGUCAGAUGUUUCGCAACAUCUACAAACGACGCUGAGGUUCAGCACACCGAGCGGUGCAUUAAGGACAUAAGCCUUCUGUGCAGCAAUGAGGACAAUCCUCAGUUUACGGACCCAGUCCGCAUAAUUGCUACUACCAACUUUCAACUAAUUUUCUCUAGGAACAUAUCUUAAACAGUAGAACUAAAGCGCAAGGUAUGACAUAAUUUGCAAAGGGUUUUUGACUAUGUUCAUGAUAAUGAAGUUCAUCUGAUUAUUGAACUCCCACUCAGAUAGACAUCCCUCUAGUCAUCUAAGUGAUUCAUGAUCCAAGUCAAACUAGGCCGUGUCCGAUCAUCACGUGAGACGGACUAGUCAUCAUCGGUGAACAUCUCCAUGUUGAUCGUAUCUCCUAUACGACUCAUGUUCGACCUUUCGGUCUCUUGUGUUCCGAGGCCAUGUCUGUACAUGCUAGGCUCGUCAAGUCAACCUAAGUGUUUCGCAUGUGUUCCGAGGCCAUGUCUGUACAUGCUAGGCUCGUCAACACCCGUUGUAUUCGAACGUUAGAAUCUAUCACACCCGAUCAUCACGUGGUGCUUCGAAACAACGAACCUUCGCAACGGUGCACAGUUAGGGGGAACACGUCUCUUGAAAUUUUAGUGAGGGAUCAUCUUACUUACUACCGUCGUUCUAAGCAAAUAAGAUGCAUAACAUGAUAAACAUCACAUGCAAUCAAAUAGUGACAUGAUAUGGCCAAUAUCAUUUUGCUCCUUUGAUCUCCAUCUUCGGGGCACCAAGAUCAUCUUUGUCACCGGCAUGACACCAUGAUCUCCAUCAUCAUGAUCUCCAUCAUUGUGUCUUCAUGAAGUUGUCACGCCAACGAUCACUUCUACUUCUAUGGCUAACGCGUUUAGCAAUAAAGUAAAGUAAUUUACAUGGCGUUAUUCAAUGACACGCAGGUCAUACAAAAAAAAUAAAGACAACUCCUAUGGCUCCUGCCGGUUGUCAUACUCAUCGACAUGCAAGUCGUGAUUCCUAUUACAAGAAUAUGAUCAAUCUCAUACACCACAUAUAUCAUUCAUCACAUCUUCUGGCCAUAUCACAUCACAUAGCACAUGCUGCAAAAACAAGUUAGACGUCCUCUAAUUGUUGUUUGCAAGUUUUUUACGUGGCUUGUAUAGGUUUCUAGCAAGAACGUUUCUUACCUACGUAAAACCACAACGUGAUAUGCCAAUUUCUAUUUACCCUUCAUAAGGACCCUUUUCAUCGAAUCUGUUCCGACUAAAGUGGGAGAGACAGACACCCGCUAGCCACCUUAUGCAUCUAGUGCAUGUCAGUCGGUGGAACCUGUCUCACGUAAGCGUACGUGUAAGGUCGGUCCGGGCCGCUUCAUCCCACAAUGCCGCCGAAACAAGAUAAGACUAGUAACGGCAAGAAGAAUUGGCAACAUCUAUGUCCACAACUACUUUGUGUUCUACUCGUGCAUAGAAACUAUGCAUAGACCUAGCUCAUGAUGCCACUGUUGGGGAACGUAGCAGAAAUUCAAAAUUUUCUACGCAUCACCAAGAUCAAUCUAUGGAGAAAUCUAGCAACGAGGGAAGGGGAGUGCAUCUACAUACCCUUGUAGAUCGCGAUGCGGAAGCGUUGCAAGAACGCGGAUGAGGGAGUCGUACUCGUAGCGAUUCAGAUCGCGGUUGAUUCCGAUCUAAGCGCCGAACCACGGCGCCUCCGCGUUCAACACACGUGCAGCUCGGUGACGUCUCCCACGCCUUGAUCCAGCAAGGAGAGAGGGAGAGGUUGGGGAAGACUCCAUCCAGCAGCAGCACGACGGCGUGGUGGUGAUGGAGGAGCGUGGCAACCCCGCAGGGCUUCGCCAAGCACCGCGGGAGAGGAGGAAUCUGCCGUGACAAUUCCACGACAGGUAGCCUAGGAGUUGUGUAUUUUUCGUUUAUGUUGUGUCUUGUAUCAUAGGGUUAGUGGUUAUCUGGGGGAGUUACUGUCCCGAGGUAUAUGGCCUCAGGGUUUGUUUUUCGCAUUUUUGGGGUCGGUGGUGUUCGGCUGUUGGAUUUUGCUCUAUUAAUAAUAUAUGGUUGCAUGCAUAGUCCUGAUGCAGAGGCCGGGGGUUAUCCUCCUUUAGAAAAAGAGAUUCAAUUCAGUGGGUGGUAGCCUGUAGGCCUGAAGUUGAUACAUGUUCUAGUGUUUGCCCCAUCGAACAGAGAGAUUCAGUGGGGGUGGGCGUUUUUAGUUCAGUGGGCGUUUUUAGUUCAGUAGGCGUGUUUUUAGUGAGACUGUUUGACAGACGGGGGAGAUCCAUCAUGUGUGAUUCAGUUUGUAUCUCUGAAACCAAGUUGUGUUCGAUCCACCCUGCGUGAUGUUUGUUUGUUGUGUACAACUUCCAUAGCAUCUCACUCUAUGUGAUAUUCGUGUGAGUUGUAACAGAAGUAGAAAUUGUCAGAUAUUUACUAGAUGUGUUUGUAGUAAUACGAUUCUAAAUUGCUGUCAAGAUAGCGGUGAGUUGUUUUGAAAUAUAUUUUUUGUGGAUGCAUGCAUAGCCAGGCUGACACCUGUAGUAGGCACAUGUUGGUUGUUUCUCUUAUUAAUCCACAAAAAGUAUCUGUUUGUUAGAUUUGAAUCAUCCCUAUUCUUAAUGGUGCAUUUUCUGAUGGAGUGGUGUGUCUUGCGCAACUUUGCAUGCCUAUAAUACAAAACUGCCUGCUAUUCAAGUGUCUCUGGAUCUGGUUCCACUCAAGUUGAGCCAUCACCAACAUUAGACCCACACGCUUCCGAAGAACAAAGUGAAGGCCCUCAACCCUAUGAACAAGACCAAGAGCAAGAUCAACCUAUUAGUGACGAUGGUUCACCAAGUGAUGCCCAAGAUCAAGUUCACUCCUCCGAGCAACCUCACGAUCAAGAACAAGUUCAAGAGCAAGAGCAAGCUCAAGACGGCGCUCAAAGCGAUCAAGAUGAUGACCCUCAAGUUGACAAUCAUAUGCCUUUGGAGGAACUUUUGGAGCGUCGAGCCGCCAAGAUAUCCUCCGCUCUCAAGCGUCAAGAACAUGUGUUGGAGAAUGUGCUUGGAAGUUUAAGAAAAAGGGUAACUAGACAAUUAACAAACUUUUGUGAGCAUCACGCGUUUGUUUCUUGUGUUGAACCCCAAAAGGUACAUGAAGCGCUUGAGGACUCGGAUUGGCUUGAAGCCAUGCAUGAUGAACUCAACAACUUCGAGCGCAACAAAGUGUGGUCAUUGGUGCCAAGGCCAACGGAGAAUCAUAAUGUCAUUGGAACCAAAUGGAUCUUCAAGAACAAGCAAGAUGCGAACGGCGUUGUCAUUCGAAACAAGGCAAGAUUUGUUGCACAUGCGAAAUCUUUGCUCAUGUUGCUCGCCAUGAAUCUAUUCGCAUGUUGCUUGCAUAUGCAUCUCAUCAUAACUUUAUAUUGCAACAAAUGGAUGCGAAGAGUGCAUUUCUUAAUGGUCCUCUUAAUGAGUUGGUGUAUGUCAAACAACCCCCGGGGUUCGAGGAUCCCAAGUUCCCCAAUCAUGUAUACAAACUCGAUAAGGCUCUCUAUGGCCUUAAACAAGCCCCACGUGCGUGGUAUGAGCACCUUACGGAGUUGUUGCAAGAUCGUGGGUUUGAAAUUGGGAAAAUGGAUCCCACUCUUUUUACUAAGAGGGUUAAAGGGGAUUUGUUCAUAUGCCAACUAUAUGUUGAUGAUAUUAUAUUUGGUUCUCCUAACAAAGCUUUCAAUGAUGUGUUUGCUGCACUUAUGACGAGCAUUUUGAGAUGUCUAUGAUGGGAGAGUUGAAGUUUUUCCUCGUAUCUGAAAUCAAGCAACGAAGAAAGGAAUCAAUCAAGCCAAAUAUACCCAAGACAUGCUCAAGAAAUUCAAGCUAAGUGAUGUCAAGCCAGCCUCUACUCCAAUGCCUACCAAAUGCCAACUUGACAUUGAUCCCAAUGGUAAAGCGGUGGAUCAAAAGGUAUAUCGUUCUAUGAUUGGAUCCUUGCUUUACCUUUGUGCAUCUAGGCCGGAUAUCAUGUUGAGUGUGGGAAUGUGUGCACGGUUUCAAGCAGCACCUAAGGAAAUUCACUUUGUGGCAGUCAAGCGAAUCUUUCGAUAUUUGGCUCAUACCCCAAAUUGUGGCUUAUGGUACCCCAAAGGUUCAAGCUUUGAUCUCAUUGGAUAUUCGGACUCGGAUUGGGCAGGAGACCGUGUGGAUAGGAAGUCAACUUCCGGAGGGUGCCCAUUCCUUAGUCGCUCUCUGGUAAGUUGGUCUUUCAAAGAAACAAAAUUGUGUGUCUCUCUCCACCACCGAAGCCGAGUAUGUUGCUGCUGCUAGUUGUUGUGCUCAACUUCUAUGGAUGAGGUAAACUUUAAAGGAUUACCGUGUCAUUUGUGACAAAGUGCCUCUAUGCUGUGACAAUGAAAGUGCAAUCAAGAUCUCUUACAAUCCGGAGCAACAUAGCAAGACGAAGCAUAUUGAGAUUCGCCAUCACUUCAUCCGGGAUCACAUCAAGCGUGGGAGAUCGAGGUUAUCCAUGUAGGUACUCAAGUGCAACUAGCGGAUAUCUUCACAAAGCCUUUGGAUGAAGCAAGAUUUCGCGAGUUAAGGCAUGAGCUAAAUAUCAUUGAUUUGAGCAAUGUGGCUUGAAUCUAUGCACACCCCACCACACUCAUCAUUUUAUUUUGCUCUAGUUUUAGGCACAGACAUGGGGGGGUGUUGUUCUUUCAAUGAACUCUCCGUCCCCCCAUUAUGCAUAAAUCGAUCAAGUCUUUCACAUUAGCCAUGUUUGAUGGUACGUGUGCUUCAAAGAUGAGUUUGGUCAUGGGCCCAAGGUUAAAAUCUUCGCGGUGCCAUACCUAUUAACUCAAACAAAGGUGGCCUCGGCCACCGACCUCUCCUCAUGAUCAACGGUUGUUGUUGAUUUUGAGGUCUGUGUGUGUGGUUGUGACACCUCUUGUGUGCAUCUCUUUUCCUUUACUUUUGUUCUUGGGGUGUCACUAAUUGUUGUUGCAUUUCUUUGUCAUGUCUCUCUCGAGUUCUCUUAGUCCUCUUGUUUGCAUAAGCCUGCCUUUUUCUUCUCUGCUCCUGCCUGUUUUCGCCUGCACGGUACUACCGCUGAGCCAGCGCGGUACUACCGCCCUGCCCCACGGUACUACCGCACGGAGAGUUGGAGCAAGGGGGUUAUGAGUCGGGGCUGUGGGGAAGUUCCUUUCCCAUACCCAUUCACUCGCCCCCUCGUCUCUCUCUCUCUCUCUUAGGCGACGAACAGGCAGCGGAGGGCUGCCGCCGGGCCGCCAUCUCUGAGCCAUCCUCCGCGUUUCUGUCCGGUGGGAUCGAUCCCCACCCUUCCCUCUUGCCAUGGAUGCCGGUAUUGCCCCCGUUCUUCUCUUCGUUGGUUCUAGUUUUUGGAUCUAGAUUUUUAGGGCAAUAUCCGUUGCAUUCUUCGAUUUUUAGCCAAAUCAGGGCAUGAGUAGGACGAGUAGACUGCUAGAGCAGGUAGAUUGAAGUUUGAACCGCGAAAAAUUGAAUUUGGCAUCUCCGGUAGUACCGGAUCCCUCCACGGAUUUGGUCAGACCGCUGACAUCCGCCUCGAGCGGUACUACCGCUCCAUACUACCGCUGUUAGGCGGUACUACCACUUAGAGAUGUCAAUUUCAGAUUUUCCCCGUUCAUCUUUCACUCUUGUGUCUUCUUUCCUUUUUGGCUUAUGCUUUUUUCCUCUUUCGUGUUCUUGUGUGUGAGUUUCAGGUGGUAGUAGCUCCGGGCAUCAGGCUCGUCGCAAGAAUCCCACCCGUUCCAGUGGCUCCAACCGCUACCGCUCUGCUGAUGUGCCAGUGGGGAGCACCUUGCCAGUAGGUGGCUCCGAUGAGUAGCCAAGACAGAGGGUUAAAGCAGUUGCGUCCAAGAACAAGGGGCCCAAGAGGGCUCAUGAGAUGGGUGCGAUAGAGUCCGGCACGGCUCCUAAGCGCAAUCUGUACCGCGAGCCUCAGGAUCCUUCGCUUGUUCAUCGUAAGUUCUGGAACAAGUUUAAGCAAUCUAUUUACCAUGAUGUGUUGAAGGGCAAGAAGAAUAUGCUUGUGCCAGUCAAGUCUGUUGAUCUCUCUCACAUGGAGAGGGACUUGCCUUAUUUUGGAGCUGCACUUCAGAGGUGCGAGGAGCUGGACAUCAAGAGGAUCAUCUCUUUCAACAAGGAUUUUGAUGCAAAGCUUGUGGCACAAUUCUAUGUCAUUGUACACUUUGGGCAUGAUGAGGACAGGACUCUCACCUGGAUGACCAAUGGUCGACGUAUGUCUGCUACUUGGAAGAGCUUCACGGAGUGUUUGUCAUAUGAUGAUCAGGGGCCCCAGACCCCAGUUGGGUUUCGCCCUCACAGGGAGGCUACUGCUGAAGGAAAUAUGCCCUAGAGGCAAUAAUAAAGUUAUUAUUUAUUUCCUCAUAUCAUGAUAAAUGUUUAUUAUUCAUGCUAUAAUUGUAUUAACCGGAAACAUAAUACAUGUGUGAAUACAUAGACAAACAUAGUGUCACUAGUAUGCAUCUACUUGACUAGCUCGUUGAUCAAAGAUGGUUGAGUUUCCUAGCCAUAGACAUGAGUUGUCAUUUGAUUAACGGGAUCACAUCAUUAGGAGAAUGAUGUGAUUGACUUGACCCAUUCUAUUAGCUUAGCACUUGAUCGUUUAGUUUACUGCUAUUGCUUUCUUCAUGACUUAUACAUGUUCCUAUGACUAUGAGAUUAUGCAACUCCCGAUUACCGGAGGAACACUUUGUGUGCUACCAAACAUCACAACGUAACUGGGUGAUUAUAAAGGUGCUCUACAGGUGUCUCCGAUGGUACUUGUUGAGUUGGCAUAGAUCGAGAUUAGAAUUUUUCACUCUGAUUGUCGGAGAGGUAUCUCUGGGCCCUCUCGGUAAUGUACAUCACUAUAAGCCUUGCAAGCAAUGUGACUAAUGAGUUAGUUACGGGAUGAUGCAUUACGGAACGAGUAAAGAGACUUACCGAUAACGAGAUUGAUCUAGGUAUUGAGAUACCGACGAUCAAAUCUCGGGCAAGUAACAUACCGAUGACAAAGGGAACAACGUAUGUUGUUAUGCGGUUUGACCGAUAAAGAUCUUCGUAGAAUAUGUAGGAACCAAUAUGAUCAUCCAGGUUCCGCUAUUGUUUAUUGACCGGAGACGUGCCUCGGUCAUGUCUACAUAGUUCUCGAACCCGUAGGGUCCGCACGCUUAAAGUUCUGUGACGAUCGGUAUUAUGAGUUUAUAUGUUUUGAUGUACCGAAGAUAGUUCGGACUCCCGGAUAUGAUCAUGGACAUGACGAGGAGUCUCGAAAUGGUCAAGACAUAAAGAUUGAUAUAUUGGAAGCCUAUAUUUGGACGUCAGAAAAGUUCCGAGUGAAAUCGGGAUUUUACCGGAGUGCCGGAGGGGUUACCGGAACCCCCCCGGGGUUAAUGGGCCUAGUUGGGCCCUAGUGGAGAGAGAGAGGGGCCGGCCAGGGCAGGCCGCGUGCCCCCUCCCCCUCUGGUCUGAAUUGGACUAGGAAGGGGGGGCGGCGCCCCCAUUUCCUUCUCCUUCUCCCCCUUCCUUUCCCCCUCCUAGUAGGAGUAGGAAAGAGGGGGGUCCUACUCCUACUAGGAGGAGGACGACUCCUCCUGGCACGCCCUACAGGGGCCGGCCGGCCUCCCCCCUUGCUCCUUUAUAUACGGGGGCAGGGGGCACCCUAGAACACACAAGUUGAUCAUUAAUCUCUCCCAGCCGUGUGCGGUGCCCCCCUCCACCAUAAUCCACCUCGGUCAUAUCGUAGCGGUGCUUAGGCGAAGCCCUGCGAUGGUAGCUUCAUCAGCAUCGUCACCACACCGUCGUGCUAACGAAACUCUCCCUCGAGCUCUACUGGAUCGUGAGUUCGCGGGACGUCACCGAGCUGAACGUGUGCUAAACGCGGAGGUGUCGUACGUUCGGUACUGAGGAUCGGUCGAUCGUGAAGACGUAGACUACAUCAACCGCGUUGUCAUAACGCUUCCGCUUAACGGUCUACGAGGGUACGUGGACAACACUCUCCCCUCUCGUUGCUAUGCAUCACCAUCAUCUUGCGUGUGCGUAGGAAUUUUUUUGAAAUUACUACGUUCCCCAAUAGUGGCAUCCGAGCCUGGUUUAUGCGUAGAUGUUAUAUGCACGAGUACAACACAAGUGAGUUUUGGGCGAUACAAGUCAUACUGCUUACCAGCAUGUCAUACUUUGGUUCGGAGGUAUUGUUGGAUGAAGCGGCCCGGACCGACAUUACGCGUACGCUUACGCGAGACUGGUUCUACCGACGUGCUUUGCACACAGGUGGCUAGCAGGUGUCAGUUUCUCCAACUUUAGUUGAACCGAGUGUGGCUACGCCCGGUCCUUGAGAAGGUUAAAACAGCACUAACUUGACGAACUAUCGUUAUGGUUUUGAUGCGUAGGUAAGAACAGUUCUUGCUCAGCCCGUAGCAGCCACGUAAAACUUGCAACAACAAAGUAGAGGACGUCUAACUUGUUUUUGCAGGGCAUGUUGUGAUGUGAUAUGGUCAAGACAUGAUGCUAUAUUUUAUUGUAUGAGAUGAUCAUGUUUUGUAACGGAGUUAUCGGCAACUGGCAGGAGCCAUAUGGGUGUCGCUUUAUUGUAUGCAAUGCAAUCGCCCUGUAAUUGCUUUACCUUAUCACUAAGCGGUAGCGAUAGUCAUAGAAGCAAUAGUUGGCGAGACGACAACGAUGCUACGAUGGAGAUCAAGGUGUCGCACCGGUGACGAUGGUGAUCAUGACGGUGCUUUGGAGAUGGAGAUCAAAGGCACAAGAUGAUGAUGGCCAUAUCAUAUCACUUAUAUUGAUUUUUUUUGACUAUAUACUGCAAGGCAACAGCCUCACAGUCCUUUAUUAAUAACUAAAAGAAAGCAGUAUAGUUACAAUUAUACAAAUUUACAGAAAAAGAGAGAAAAGAUACUUACAAGCAAAGAGGCUAAGAAAGGUUAGCUAUCCAAGACAGUAAACUAUCUUUAUAUUUACACCUAAUCCUAUGAGACAGAAGAGAGAUGUCAUGGAUAAAGUUCCUUCUCCAUGCUCUAAAAGAAGGUUGCUCAUUUCUGAAGAUCUUCCCAUUCCUUUGUGUCCAGAUAUUCCAAGUAGCAGUGAAGACAACCUCAGUGAAGAAAGGAUGACCGAAAUCCCUCCUAACUGAUUGAGCUUUCUCAUAUGUGGUUUGGUCCGGUUGAACGGACCAAGAAAUCCCAAGAUAAUUCCAAACCCUUUGGCUAAAAUUGCAAGCAAAGAAAAGAUGAGCCCGAUCACUUAUAUUGAUUGCAUGUGAUGUUUAUCCUUUAUGCAUCUUAUUCUGCUUUGAUUGACGGUAGCAUUAUAAGAUGAUCCCUCACUAAAUUUCAAGGUAUAAGUGUUCUCCCUGAGUAUGCACCGUUGCGAAAGUUCGUCGUGCCGAGACACCACGUGAUGAUCGGGUGUGAUAAGCUCUACGUUCAAAUACAACGGGUGUAAGCCAGUUUUGCACAAGCAGAAUACUCGGUUUAAACUUGACGAGCCUAGCAUAUGCAGAUAUGGCCUCGGAACACUGAGACCGAAAGGUCGAGUGUGAAUCAUAUAGUAGAUAUGAUCAACAUAGUGAUGUUCACCAUUGAAAACUACUCCAUCUCACGUGAUGAUCGGACAUGGUUUAGUUGAUUUGGAUCACGUGAUCAUUUAGAAGACUCGAGGGAUGUCUAUCUAAGUGGGAGUUCUUAAGUAAUAUGAUUAAUUGAACUUUAAUUUAUCAUGAACUUAGUACCUGAUAGUAUUUUGCUUGUCUAUGUUGUUGUAGAUAGAUGGCCCAUGCUGUUGUUCCGUUGAAUUUUAAUGUGUUCCUUGAGAAAGCAAAGUUGAAAGAUGAUGGUAGUAAUUACACGGACUGGGUCCAUAACUUGAGGAUUAUCCUCAUUGCUGCACAGAAGAAUUACGUCCUGGAAGCACUGCUGGGUGCCAGGCCUGCUGCAGAUGCAACUGACGACAUUAAGAACGUCUGGCAGAGCAAAGCUGAUGACUACUCGAUAGUUCAGUGUGCCAUGCUUUACGGCUUAGAACCGGGACUUCAACGAUGUUUUGAACGUCAUGGGGCAUAUGGGAUGUUCCAGGAGUUGAAGUUAAUAUUUCAAGCAAAUGCCCGGAUUGAGAGAUAUGAAGUCUCCAAUAAGUUCUACAGCUGCAAGAUGGAGGAGAAUAGUUCUGUCAGUGAACAUAUACUCAAAAUGUCUGGGUAUAAUAAUCACUUGAUUCAACUGGGAGUUAAUCUUCCGGAUGAUAGUGUCAUUGACAGAAUUCUUCAAAUCACUGCCACCAAGUUACAAGAGCUUUGUGAUGAAUUAUAAUAUGCAAGGGGUGGAUAAGACAAUUCCCGAGCUCUUCGUAAUGCUAAAGACUGCGGAGGUAGAAAUCAAGAAGGAGCAUCAAGUGUUGAUGGUCAACAAGACCACCAGUUUCAAGAAAAAGGGUAAAGGGAAGAAGAAGGGCAACUUCAAGAAGAACAGCAAACAAGUUGCUGCUUAGGAGAAGAAACCCAAGUCUGGACCUAAGCCUGAGACUGAGUGCUUCUACUGCAAACAGACUGGUCACUGGAAGCGGAACUGCCCCAAGUAUUUGGCAGAUAAGAAGGAUGGCAAGGUGAACAAAGGUAUAUGUGAUAUACAUGUUAUUGAUGUGUACCUUACUAAUGCUCACGGUAGCACCUGGGUAUUUGAUAUUGGUUCUUUUGCUAAUAUUUGCAACUCGAAACAAGGACUACGGAUUAAGCGGAGAUUGGCUAAGGACGAGGUGACGAUGCGCAUGGGAAAUGGUUCCAAAGUUGAUGUGAUCGCAGUCGGCACGCUACCUCUACAUCUACCUUCGGGAUUAGUUUUAGACCUGAAUAAUUGUUAUUUGGUUCCAGCGUUAAGCAUGAACAUUAUAUCUGGAUCUUGUUUGAUGCGAGACGGUUAUUCAUUUAAAUCAGAGAAUAAUGGUUGUUCUAUUUAUAUGAGUAAUAUCUUUUAUGGUCAUGCACCCUCGAAGAGUGGUCUAUUUUUAUUAAAUCUCGAUAGUAGUGAUACACAUAUUCAUAAUAUUGAAGCCAAAAAAUGCAGAGUUGAUAAUGAUAGUGCAACUUAUUUGUGGCACUGCCGUUUAGGUCAUAUUGGUAUAAAGCGCAUGAAGAAACUCCAUACUGAUGGACUUUUGGAAUCACUUGAUUAUGAAUCACUUGGUACUUGCGAACCAUGCCUCAUGGGCAAGAUGACUAAAACGUCGUUCUCCGGAACAAUGGAGCGAGCAACAGAUUUGUUGGAGAUCAUACAUACUGAUGUAUGUGGUCCAAUGAAUAUUGAGGCUCGCGGCUGGUAUCGUUAUUUUCUCACCUUCACAGAUGAUUUGAGCAGAUAUGGGUAUAUCUACUUAAUGAAACAUAAGUCUGAAACAUUUGAAAAGUUCAACGAAUUUCAGAGUGAAGUGGAAAAUCAUCGUAACAAGAAAAUAAAAUUUCUACGAUCUGAUCGUGGAGGAGAAUAUUUGACUUACGAGUUUGGUCUACAUUUGAAACAAUGCGGAAUAGUUUCGCAACUCACGCCACCCGGAACACCACAACAAAAUGGUGUGUUCGAACAUCGUAAUCGUACUUUACUAGAUAUGGUGCGAUCUAUGAUGUCUCUUACUGAUUUACCGCUAUCAUUUUGGGGUUAUGCUUUAGAGACGGUUGCAUUCACGUUAAAUAGGGCACCAUCGAAAUCCGUUGAGACGACGCCUUAUGAACUGUGGUUUGGCAAGAAACCAAAGUUGUCGUUUCUUAAAGUUUGGGGCUGCGAUGCUUAUGUGAAAAAGCUUCAACCUGAUAAGCUCGAACCCAAAUCGGAGAAAUGUGUCUUCAUAGGACACCUAAAGGAAACUGUUGGGUACACCUUCUAUCACAGAUCCGAAGGCAAGACAUUUGUUGCUAAGAAUGGAUCCUUUCUACAGAAGGAGUUUCUCUCGAAAGAAGUGAGUGGGAGGAAAGUAGAACUUGAUGAGGUAACUGUACCUGCUCCCUUAUUGGAAAGUAGUUCAACAUAGAAACCGGCUUCUGUGACACCUACACCAAUCAGUGUAGAGGCUAAUGAUAUUGAUCAUGAAACUUCAGAUCAAGUUACUACCGAACCUCGUAGGUCAACCAAAGUAAGAUCCACACCAGAGUGGUACGGUAAUCCUAUUCUGGAGGUCAUGUUACUUGACCAAGGCGAACCUACGAACUAUGAAGAAGCGAUGGUGAGCCCAGAUUCCGCAAAAUAGCUUGAGGCCAUGAAAUCUGAGAUGGGAUCCAUGUAUGAGAACAAAGUGUGGACUUUGGUUGACUUGCCCGAAGAUCGGCAAGCCAUAGAGAAUAAAUGGAUCUUCAAGAAGAAGACUGACGCUGACGGUAAUGUUACUGUCUACAAAGCUCGACUUGUUGCGAAAGGUUUUCGACAAGUUCAAGGAGUUGACUACGAUGAGACUUUCUCACCCGUAGCGGUGCUUAAGUCUGUCCGAAUCAUGUUAGCAAUUGCCGCAUUUUAUGAUUAUGAAAUUUGGCAAAUGGAUGUCAAAACUGCAUUCCUGAACGGAUUUCUGGAAGAAGGGUUGUAUAUGAUGCAACCGGAAGGUUUUGUCGAUCCAAAGGGAGCUAACAAAGUGUGCAAACUCCAGCGAUCCAUUUAUGGACUGGUGCAAGCCUCUCGGAGUUGGAAUAAACGUUUUGGUAGUGUGAUCAAAGCAUAUGUUUUAUACAGACUUUUGGAGAAGCCUGUAUUUACAAGAAAGUGAGUGGGAGCUCUGUAGCAUUUCUAAUAUUAUAUGUGGAUGACAUAUUGCUAAUUGGAAAUGAUAUAGAAUUUCUGGAUAGCAUAAAAGGAUACUUGAAUAAGAGUUUUUCAAUGAAAGACCUCGGUGAAGCUGCUUACAUAUUGGGCAUCAAGAUCUAUCGAGAUAGAUCAAGACGCUUAAUUGGACUUUCACAAAGCACAUACCUUGACAAAGUUUUGAAAAAGUUCAAAACGGAUCAAGCAAAGAAAGGGUUCUUGCCUGUGUUACAAGGUGUGAAGUUAAGUCAGACUCAAUGCCCGACCACUGCAGAAGAUAGAGAGAAAAUGAAAAGUGUUCCCUAUGCUUCAGCCAUAGGCUCUAUCAUGUAUGCAAAUGCUGUGUCCCAGACCUGAUGUGUGCCUUGCUAUUAGCUUAGCAGGGAGGUAGCAAAGUAAUCCAGGAAUGGAUCACUGGACAACGGUCAAGAACAUAUUGAAAUACCUGAAAAGGACUAAGGAUAUGUUUCUCAUUUAUGGAGGUGACAAAGAGCUCGUCGUAAAUGGUUACGUCGAUGCAAGCUUUGACACUGAUCCGGACGAUUCUAAAUCGCAAACCGGAUAUGUGUUUACAUUGAACGGUGGAGCUGUCAGUUGGUGCAGUUCUAAACAAAGCGUCGUGGCGGGAUCUACGUGUGAAGCGGAGUACAUAGCUGCUUCGGAAGCAGCAAAUGAAGGAGUCUGGAUGAAGGAGUUCAUAUCCGAUCUAGGUGUCAUACCUAGUGCAUCGGGUCCAAUGAAAAUGUUUUGUGACAAUACUGGUGCAAUUGCUUUGGCAAAGGAAUCCAGAUUUCACAAGAAGACCAAGCACAUCAAGAGACGCUUCAAUUCCAUCCAGGAUCAAGUCCAGGUGGGAGACAUAGAGAUUUGCAAAAUACAUACGGAUCUGAAUGUUGCAGACCCGUUGACUAAGCCUCUUCCACGAGCAAAACAUGAUCAGCACCAAGACUCCAUGGGUGUUAGAAUCAUUACUAUGUAAUCUAGAUUACUGACUCUAGUGCAAGUGGAAGACUGAAGGAAAUAUGCCCUAGAGGCAAUAAUAAAGUUAUUAUUUAUUUCCUCAUAUCAUGAUACAUGUUUAUUAUUCAUGCUAGAAUUGUAUUAACCGGAAACAUAAUACAUGUGUGAAUACAUAGACAAACAUAGUGUCACUAGUAUGCCUCUACUUGACUAGCUCGUUGAUCAAAGAUGGUUGAGUUUCCUAGCCAUAGACAUGAGUUGUCAUUUGAUUAACGGGAUCACAUCAUUAGGAGAAUGAUGUGAUUGACUUGACCCAUUCCGUUAGCUUAGCACUUGAUCGUUUAGUUUACUGCUAUUGCUUUCUUCAUGACUUAUACAUGUUCCUAUGACUAUGCGAUUAUGCAACUCCCGAUUACCGGAGGAACACUCUGUGUGCUACCAAAUGUCACAACGUGACUGGGUGAUUAUAAAGGUGCUCUACAGGUGUCUCCGAUGGUACUUGUUGAGUUGGCAUAGAUCGAGAUUAGAAUUUGUCACUCCGAUUGUCGGAGAGGUAUCUCUGGGCCCUCUCGGUAAUGUACAUCACUAUAAGCCUUGCAAGCAAUGUGACUAAUGAGUUAGUUAUGGGAUGAUGCAUUACAGAACGAGUAAAGAGACUUACCGGUAACGAGAUUGAGCUAGGUAUUGAGAUACCGACGAUCAACUCUCGGGCAAGUAACAUACCGAUGACAAAGGGAACAACGUAUGUUGUUAUGCAGUUUGACCGAUAAAGAUCUUCGUAGAAUAUGUAGGAACCAAUAUGAGCAUCCAGGUUCUGCUAUUGGUUAUUGACCAGAGACGUGUCUCGGUCAUGUCUACAUAGUUCUCGAACCCGUAGGGUCUGCACGCUUAAAGUUCUGUGACGAUCGGUAUUAUGAGUUUAUAUGUUUUGAUGUACCAAAGAUAGUUAGAAGUCCCGGAUAUGAUCAUGGACAUGACGAGGAGUCUCGAAAUGGUAGAGACAUAAAGAUUGAUAUAUUGGAAGCCUAUAUUUGGACGUCGGAGAAGUUCCGGGUGAAAUCGGGAUUUUACCGGAGUGCCGGAGGGGUUACCGGAACCCCCCGGGGGUUAAUGGGCCUAGUUGGGCCCUAGUGGAGAGAGAGAGGGGACGGCCAGGGCAGGCCGCGUGCCCCCUCCCCCUCUGGUCUGAAUUGGACUAGGAAGGGGGGGCGGCGCCCCCAUUUCCUUCUCCUUCUCCCCCUUCCUUUCCCCCUCCUAGUAGGAGUAGGAAAGAGGGGGGGGUCCUACUCCUACUAGGAGGAGGACUCCUCCUCCUGGCACGCCCUACAGGGGGCGGCCGGCCUCCCCCCUUGCUCCUUUAUAUACGGGGUGGGGGGCACCCUAGAACACACAUGUUGAUCAUUAAUCUCUCCCAGCCGUGUGCGGUGCCCCCUCCACCAUAAUCCACCUCGGUCAUAUCGUAGCGGUGCUUAGGCGAAGCCCUGCGAUGGUAGCUUCAUCAACAUCGUCACCACGCCGUCGUGCUGACGAAACUCUCCCUCGAGCUCUACUAGAUCGUGAGUUCGCGGGACGUCACCGAGCUGAACGUGUGCUAAACGCAGAGGUGCCGUACGUUCGGUACUGAGGAUCGGUCGAUCGUGAAGACGUAGACUACAUCAACCGCGUUGUCAUAACGCUUCCGCUUAACGGUCUACGAGGGUACGUGGACAACACUCUCCCCUCUCAUUUCUAUGCAUCACCAUGAUCUUGCGUGUGUGUAGGAAUUUUUUUGAAAUUACUACGUUCCCCAACAACUGCUACUCCGAAGGAUGCUCUAUGGCCUUUCUCUACCAGGAAGGCGUCUGAGACUGGGCAUGUCUCCUAUGAGCUAUGUUCCUUUCUAGAUAUCUUGCACCGGAUCUUUAGGAACUCUCUAUUCCCUCGGGUUGGCAACAAGGAUAUGGUGCACUCUUAUCUGGUGGACCUACUUCUGUUCUGCCAGAAGGAGAAGGGGUCUCAGGAGGUGUUGGAUGUUUCUCAUGUCAUGUUCUCUGAACUUCGUUGUGCCAUCUUGGAGCGCAAAUGCAUCAUACAUGGCCCCUACUUGAUGCAGCUCAUUGAGGAAACAUGUGCCUCUUCAUUUCUGGAGGAGGAUCUUGAUGUUGGAGAAUUGGUCUCCCAUUAGGUGGUUCAGCUCGAGCAGAAGGAGAAGUGGGGGAUGACUGCUCCUGAUCCCUCAGUACACGAUGCAGUCAGGUCCGAUGAUGAUGAUGAUGAGCCAGACUAUGAGCCGUCAGAGGAGCCCUCGUGGGCUAAGAAGCUCAAGCAUAAGAUGAAGAAGUUGUUCUGCCUUCAGGCGCAGGGUUAGUACAAGGCACAUGUUGCUGCAAAGAAGGCCCGUCAGCGUGACAAGGCCAUUAUGAGGCAGAUUGGCCUCAUCGUGUCUGAUGGAUCUGAGGAUAGGAUCACUGACGAGGAGGCUUGGGUCUGUGUGCAUGCUACCUCUUGAGCAUGCGUUAGUUUUCCCUUGAAGAGGAAAGGGUGAUGCAGCAAAGUAUCGUAAGUAUUUCCCUCAGUUUUUGAGAACCAAGGUAUCAAUCCUGUAGGAGACUACAUGCAAAUCGCCUAGUACCUGCACAAACAAUCAAGAACCUUGCAACCAACGCGAUAAAGGGGUUGUCAAUCCCUUCACGGCCACUUGCAAAAGUGAGAUCUGAUAAAGAUAAUAAAAUAAAUAUUUUUGUUAUUUUUGUUGUAUAGAUUGGAAAAUAAAGAUUGCAAAAUAAAUAGUAAACUAGAAUUAUAGAUCGGAAACUUAUAUGAUGUAAAGUAGACUCGGGGGCCAUAGGUUUCACUAGUGGCUUCUCUCAUGAUAGCAUGUAUUACGAUGGGUGAACAAAUUACUGCCGAGCAAUUGAUAGAAAAGUGCAUAGUUAUGAGAAUAUCUAGGCAUGAUCAUGAACAUAGGCAUCACAUCCAUGUCAAGUAGACCGAAACGAUUCUACAUCUACUACUAUUACUCCACACAUCGACCGCUAUCCAGCAUGCAUCUAGAGUAUUAAGUUCAUAAGAACAGAGUAACGCAUUAAGCAAGAUGACAUGAUGUAGAGGGAUAAACUCAAGCAAUAUGAUAUAAACCCCAUCUUUUUAUCCUCGAUGGCAACAAUACAAUACGUGACGGUUCCCUUUCUGUCACUGGGAUCGAGCACCGCAAGAUUGAACCCAAAGCUAAGCACUUCUUCCAUUGCAAGAAAGAUCAAUCUAGUGGGCCAAACCAAACUGAUAAUUCGAAGAGACUUGCAAAGAUAUUAAAUCAUGCAUAUAAGAAUUCAGAGAAGAAUCAAAUAUUGUUCAUAGAUAAUCUUGAUCAUAAACCCACAACUCAUCGGAUCUCAGCAAACACACCGCAAAAAAUAUUACAUCGAAUAGAUCUCCAAGAACAUCGAGGAGAACUUUGUAUUGAGAACCAAAAAGAGAGAAGAAGCCAUCUAUCUAAUAACUAUGGACCCGAAGGUUUGUGGUUAGCUACUCACACAUCAUCGGAAAGGCUAUGGUGUUGAUGUAGAAGCCCUCCGUGAUCGAAUCCCCCUCCAGUAGAUCGCCUGAAAAGGCCCCAAGAUGGGAUCUCAAGGGUACAGAAGGUUGCGGCGGUGGAAAAGUGGUUUCGUGGCUCUCCUGGAUGUUUUCAGGGUAUAAGAGUAUAUAUAGGCGAAAGAAGUAGGUCGGUGGAGCUAUGAGGGGCCCACGAGGGUGGGGGGCGCGCCUACCCCCCUGGGCGCGCCCUCCUGCCUCGUGGCCGCCUCGUUGCGUCUCUAACUUCCACUCCAAGUCUCCUGGAUUGCGUUCGUUCCAAGAAAGAUCCUCGCGAAUGUUUCGUUCCGUUUGGAUUCCGUUUGAUAUUCCUUUUCUGCGAAACACUGAAAUAGGCAAAAAAUAGCAACUGGCACUGAGCCUCCGGUUAAUAGGUUAGUCCUAAAAAUAAUAUAAAAGAGCAUAUUAAAGCCCAUUAAACAUCCAAAACGGAUAAUAUAAUAGCAUGGAACGAUAAAAAAAUAUAGAUAUGUUGGAGACGUAUCAGGAUCACCAAGCUUAAUUCCUGCUUUUCCUCGAGUAGGUAAAUGAUAAAAACAGAAUUUUUGAUGUGGAAUGCUACCUAACAUAAUUUUCAAUGUAAUUUUAUUUAUUGUGGCAUGAAUUUUCAGAUCCGAAAGAUUCAAGAUAAAAGUUUAUAUUGACAUAAAAAUAAUAAUACUUCAACCAUACUAAUAAAGCAAUCAUGUCUUCUCAAAAUAACAUGGCCAAAGAAAGUUAUCCCUACAAAAUCAUAUAGUCUGGCUAUGCUCUAUCUUCAUCGCACAAAAUAUUUAAAUCAUGCACAACCCCGAUGACAAGCCAAGCAAUUGUUUCAUACUUUUGAUGUUCUCAAACUUUUUCAAUUUUCACACAAUACAUGAGCAUGAGCCAUGGACAUAGCACUAUAGGUGGAAUAGAAUGGUGGUUGUGGAGAAGACAAAAAAAGGAGAAGAUAGUCUCACAUCAACUAGGCGUAUCAAUGGGCUAUGGAGAUGCCCAUCAAUAGAUAUCAAUGUGAGUGAGUGGGGGUUACCAUGCAACGGAUGCACUAGAGAAAUAAGUGUAUGAAAGCUCAACAAAAGAAACUUAGUGGGUGUGCAUCCAACUCGCUUGCUCACGAAGACCUACGACAUUUUGAGGAAGCCCAUCAUUGUUAUAUACAAGCCAAGUUCUAUAAUGAAAAUUCCCACUAGUAUAUGAAAGUGACAAAAUAAGAGACUCUCUAUCAUGAAGAUCAUGGUGCUACUUUGAAGCACAAGUGUGGAAAAAGGAUAGUAACAUUGUCCCUUCUCUCUUUUUCUCUCAUCAUUUUUUUGGUGGGCUUCUUUGGCCUCUUUUUUUUAUUUGGGCUUCUUUGGCCUCUUUUAUUUUUUUCGUCUCGAGUCUCAUCCCGACUUAUCGGGGAAUCAUAGUCUCCAUCAUCAUUUCCUCACAUGGGAAAAUGCUCUAAUAAUGAAGAUCAUCACACUUUUAUUUACUUACAACUCAAGAAUUACAACUCGAUACUUAGAACAAAUAUGACUCUAUGUGAAUGCCUCUGAUGGUGUACCGGGAUAUGCAAUGAAUCAAGAGUGACAUGUAUGAAAGAAUUAUGAAGGUGGCUUUGCCACAAAUACGAUGUCAACUACAUGAUCAUGCAAAGCAAUAUGACAAUGAUGGAGCGUGUCAUAAUAAACGGAACGGUGCAAAGUUGCAUGGAAAUAUCUCUCGGAAUGGCUAUGGAAAUGCCAUAAUAGGUAGGUAUGAUGGCUGUUUUGAGGAAGGUAUAUGGUGUGUGUAUGAUACCGGCGAAAGUUGCGUGGUAUUAGAGAGGCUAGCAAUGGUGGAAGGGUGAGAGUGCGUAUAAUCCAUGGUCUCAACAUUAGUCAUAAAGAACUCACAUACUUAUUGCAAAAAUUUAUUAGUUAUCGAAACGAAGUACUACGCGCAUGCUCCUAGGGGGAUAUAUUGGUAGGAAAAGACCAUCGCUCGUCCCCGACCGCCACUCAUAAGGAAGACAAUCAAUAAAUAAAUCAUGCUCCGACUUCAUCACAUGACGGUUCACCAUACGUGCAUGCUAUGGGAAUCACAAACUUUAACACAGGUAUCUCUCAAAUUCACAACUACUCAACUAGCAUGACUCUAAUAUCACCAUCUUCAUAUCUCAAAACAAUCGUAAGGAAUCAAACUUCUCAUAAUAUUCAAUGCACUUUAUAUGAUAGUUUUUAUUAUACCCAUCUUGGAUGCUCACCAUAUUAGGACUAAUUUUAUAGCCAAAGCAAAUUACCAUGCUGUUCUAGAAGACUCUCAAAAUAAUAUAAGUGAAGCAUGAGAGAUCAAUAAUUUCUACAAAAUAAAACCACCACCGUGCUCUAAAAAGAUAUCAGUGAAGCACUAGAGCAAAAUUAUCUAGCUCAAAAGAUAUAAGUGAAGCACAUAGAGUAUUCUAAUAAAUUCCGAUUCAUGUGUGUCUCUCCAAAAGGUGUGUACAGCAAGGAUGAUUGUAGUAAACUAAAAAGCAAAGACUCAAAUCAUACAAGACACUCCAAGCAAAACACAUAUCAUGUGGUGAAUAAAAAUAUAGCCUCAAGUAAACUUACCGAUAGACGAAGACGAAAGAGGGGAUGCCUUCCGGGGCAUCCCCAAGCUUAGGCUUUUGGUUGUCCUUGAAUUUUACCUUGUGGUGCCUUGGGCAUCCCCAAUCUUAGGCUAUUGCCACUCCUUAUUCCAAAAUCCAUUGAAUCUUUACCCAAAAACUUGAAAACUUCACAACACAAAACUCAACAGAAAAUCUCAUGAGCUUCGUUAGUAUAAGAAAACAAAUCACCACUUUAAGGUACUAUAAUGGACUCAUUAUUUAUUUAUAUUGGUGUUAAACCUACUGUAUUCCAACUUCUCUAUGGUUCAUACCCCGCGAUACUAGCCAUAGAUUCAUCAAAAUAAGCAAACAACACACGAAAAACAGAAUCUGUCAAAAACAGAACAGUCUGUAGCAAUCUGUAACUUGCGAAUACUUCUGGAACUCCAAAAAUUCUACCAAAUUAGGACGACCAGGAAUUUUUAUAUUAAUCUACUGCAAAAAGAAUCAGGGUAAAAGCUCUUUUCUGUGAUUUAUGAAAAUUAUUUUCGUGAGCACAAAGUUUCUGUCUUUUUUAGCAAGAUCAAACAACUAUCAUCCAAGAAGAUCCUAAAGGCUUUACUUGGCACAAACACUAAUUAAAACAUGAAAAACACAAUCAUAACAGUAGCAUGAUGAAUUAUUUAUUACUAAACAGGAACAAAAAGCAAGGGACAAAAAUAAAAUUGGGUUGCCUCCCAACAAGCGCUAUCGUUUAACGCCCCUAGCUAGGCAUAAAAACAAGAAUAGAUCUAGGUAUUGUCAUCUUUGGUAGGCAAUCCAUAAGUGGCUCUCAUAAUAGAUUCAUAAGGCAAUUUAAUUUUCUUCCUGGGAAAUUGUCCCAUGCCUUUCCUUAAUGGAAAUUGGAAUCUAAUAUUUCCUUCCGUCAUAUCAAUAAUUGCACCAAUCGUUCUAAGGAAAGGUCUACCAAGAAUAAUAGGACAUGUAGGAUUGCAAUCUAUAUCAAGAACAAUGAAAUCUACGGGCACAUAAUUCCUAUUUGCAACAAUAAGAACAUCAUUAAUCCUUCCCAUAGUUUUCUUAAUGGUGGAAUCUGCAAGGUGCAAAUUUAAAUAACAAUCAUCAAAUUCACGAAAACCUAACACAUCACACAAAGUUUUUGGAAUCGUGGAAACACUAGCACCCAAAUCACAUAAAGCAUACAAUUCAUGAUCUUUAAUCUUAAUUUUCAUAGUAGGUUCCCACUCAUCAUGAAGUUUUCUAGGAAUAGAAACUUCUAAUUCAAGUUUUUCUUCAUAAGAUUGAUUUAAAGCAUCAACGAUAUCUUUAGUAAAAGCUUUAUUUUGAUCAUAAGCAUGAGGAGAAUUUAAUAUGGAUUGCAACAAGGAAAUACAAUCUAUCAAAGAACAAUUAUCAUAAUUAAAUUCCUUGAAAUCCAAACAAGUGGGUUCAUUGCUAUGUAAAGUUUUGACCUCUUCAAUCCCACUUUUACCAAUUUUUUCAUCAAGAUCUAAAAACUCCGAAUCAUUGGGAUGCCUUUUAACUAAAGUUGACCCAUCUCCAGUCCUAUCUUGAUGAAGAUUCAUAUUGGAAAACAAAGAUUUACUAGGAGACACAUCAAUCACUUUUUGAUCUUCAUCAUUGUUAUUAUGAAUACUAGAAGAACACGCUUUCACAAAGCAAUCUUUUUUAGCACGAAUCCUAGCGCUUCUUUCUUUGCACUCAUCAAUGGAAAUUCUCAUGGCUUUGAGAGACUCAUUAAUAUCAUGCUUAGGUGGAAUAGAACUAAGUUUCAAAGAAUCAACAUCAAGUGAAAUUCUAUCCACGUUCCUAGCCAACUCAUCAAUCUUAGGCAAUUUUUCUUCAAGCAAAGCAUUGAAAUUCUUUUGUGAAUUCAUAAAUUCUUUAACACUAGUCUCAAAAUCAGAGGGCAUCUUGUUAAAAUUUCCAUAAGAGUUGUUGUAGGAAUUACCAUAAUUAUUAGAGGAAUUACUAGGGAACGGCCUAGAAUUAAAGUUUCCUCUAUACGCGUUGUUACCAAAAUUGUUCCUACCAACAAAAUUCACAUCCAUAGAUUCAUUAUUAUUCUCAAUCAAAGUGGACAAAGGAAUAUCAUUGGGAUCAGAAGAAACACUCUUAUUAGCAAACAAUUUCAUAAGUUCAUCCAUCUUUUCACUCAAAACAUUAAUCUCUUCAAUCGCAUGAACUUUUUUACUAGUGGAUCUUUCGGUGUGCCAUUGAGAAUAAUUAACCAUAAUAUUAUCUAGGAGUUUAGUAGCUUCUCCUAAGGUGAUUUCCAUAAAAGUACCCCCACGGCCGAAUCUAAAAGAUUUCUAGAAGCAAAAUUCAAUCCGGCAUAAUUUUUUUGUAUAAUCAUCCAUAAAUUCAAACCAUGUGUGGGGCAAUUACGUAUCAUUAAUUUCAUCCUCUCCCAAGCUUGUGCAACAUGCUCAAGUUGCUGAAAAUUCAUAAUAUCGUUUCUAAGAGAGAUGAUCUUAGCGGGAGGAAAAUACUUAGAGAUAAAAGCAUCUUUGCACUUAUUCCAUGAAUCAAUACUAUUUUUAGGCAAAGAAGAGAACCAAGUUUUAGCACGACCUCUAAGUGAAAACGGAAAUAGCUUCAAUUUAACAAUGUCAUUAUCCACAUCUUUCUUCUUUUGCAUAUCGCACAAAUCAACAAAGUUGUUUAGAUGGGUAGCGGCAUCUUCACUAGGAAGGCCAGAAAAUUGAUCUUUCAUGACAAGAUUCAACAAAGCAGCAUUAAUUUCACAAGAUUCAGCAUCGGUAAUAGGAGCAAUCGGAGUAUUGUCUUGAUCCAUAAUGUUGGUAUUGGAAAAGUCACACAAUUUAGUAUUGUUGGUAUUGGAAGUCACACAAUUUAGUAUUGUCUUGAGCCAUCGUGACAAACAAUCAAUCCAACACACAAGCACACAAGAAGCAAGGAAAAAAAAGACGAACGAAAAAGGGCGAAUAAAACGGCAAGGAUGAAGUGGGGGAGAGGAAACCGAGAGGCACAUGGCAAAUAAUGUAAUGCGAGGGAUAGGAGUUUGUGAUGGGUACUUGGUAUGUCUUGACUUGAGCGUAGAUCUCCCGGAAACGGCGCCAGAAAUCCUUCUUGCUACCUCUUGAGCAUGCGUUGGUUUUCCCUUGAAGAGGAAAGGGUGAUGCAGCAAAGUAGCAUAAGUAUUUCCCUCAGUUUUUGAGAACCAAGGUAUCAAUCCAGUAGGAGACUACACGCAAAUCGCCUAGUACCUGCACAAACAAUCAAGAACUUGCAACCAAAGAGAUAAAGGGGUUGUCAAUCCCUUCACAGCCACUUGCAAAAUUGAGAUCUGAUAAAGAUAAUAAAAUAAAUAUUUUUGGUAUUUUGUUGUAUAGAUUGGAAAAUAAAGAUUGCAAAAUAAAUAGUAAACUAGAUUUAUAGAUCGGAAACUUAUAUGAUGUAAAGUAGACCCGGGGGCCAUAGGUUUUGGCUUCUCUCAUGAUAGCAUGUAUUACGGUGGGUGAACAAAUUCUCCCGAGCAAUUGAUAGAAAAGCGCAUAGUUAUGAGAAUAUCUAGGCAUGAUCAUGAACAUAGGCAUCACGUCUGUGUCAAGUAGACCGAAACGAUUCUGCAUGUACUACUAUUACUCCACACAUCGACCGUUAUCCAGCAUGCAUCUAGAGUAUUAAGUUCAUAAGAACAGAGUAACGCAUUAAGCAAGAUGACAUGAUGUAGAGGGAUAAACUCAAGCAAUAUGAUAUAAACCCCAUCUUUUUAUCCUCGAUGGCAACAAUACAAUACGUGUCGGUUCCCUUUCUAUCACUGGGAUCGAGCAUCGCAAGAUUGAACCCAAAGCUAAGCACUUCUCCCAUUGCAAGAAAGAUCAAUCUAGUGGGCCAAACCAAACUGAUAAUUCAAAGAGACUUGCAAAGAUAUUAAAUCAUGCAUAUAAGAAUUCAGAGAAGAAUCAAAUAUUGUUCAUAGAUAAUCUUGAUCAUAAACCCACAAUUCAUCGGACCUCGACAAACACACCGCAAAAAUUAUUACAUCGAAUAGAUCUCCAAGAACAUCGAGGAGAACUUUGUAUUGAGAACCAAAAAGAGAGAAGAAGCCAUCUAGCUAAUAACUAUGGACCCGAAGGUCUGUGGUAAACUACUCACACAUCAUCGGAAAGGCUGUGGUGUUGAUGUAGAAGCCCUCCGUGAUCGAAUCCCCCUCCGACAGAUCGCCGGAAAAGGCCCCAAGAUGGGAUCUCACGGGUACAGAAGGUUGCGGCGGUGGAAAAGUGGUUUCGUGGCUCUCCUGGAUGUUUUCAGGGUAUAAGAGUAUAUAUAGGCGAAAGAAGUAGGUCGGUGGAGCUACGAGGGGCCCACGAGGGUGGGGGCGCGCAUACCCCCCUGGGCGCGCCCUCCUGCCUCGUGGCCGCCUCGUUGCAUCUCUGACUUCCACUCCAUGUCUCCUGGAUUGCGUUCGUUCCAAGAAAUAUCCUCGCGAAGUUGUCGUUCCGUUUGGAUCCGUUUGAUAUUCCUUUUCUACGAAACACUGAAAUAGGCAAAAAAACAGCAACUAGCACUGGGCCUCUGGUUAAUAGGUUAGUCCCAAAAAUAAUAUAAAAGAGCAUAUUAAAGCCCAUUAAACAUCCAAAAUGGAUAAUAUAAUAGCAUGGAACGAUCAAAAAAUAUAGAUACGUUGGAGACGUAUCAGUGCACUGCCCGUGGACUGAUUCUUACGAUGGCACUAGAGGCCCUACACCUGCUGCAGAGGAGUCUAACGAGGAGGAGGAACAUGAUUGGUGAUGUCCUGGAGUAUUGCUACCACCAUCUGUCGUAGGUGUUUUCUCUACCCUUUUGGUGUCUCGAUGCCAAAGGGGGAGAGAGUGUAGGGAUUUGAUGUGUGUCGUUGUGUCGUGAGUCGAGUGUGUUUCUCUCGUUGCAGUUGCUUUCCUCGCUCGAACUCGUUUGCUUUGCUUUGGUUUAUGCUUGUGAGACUUGGCUAUCCUGUCAUAUGGUGUGAGACAUAUGCUAUCUUAUUUUUAUCCUAUGCUUGUCUAGUAUCUUGUUAGUUUGUGGCUGUUAUGCUUUAACUUAUAUCAUAUCAUAUUGCUCACUUACUACUUCUAGCAUCCUAGUUUGUCCUCUCCAUGUUUGUAGAUGCUAGUAUUGCCGGUCUAUAAAAUAUAGGGGGAGUGUUGAUCCUAGUGUGUGGGCUUUGCAUUCCAAAAGCACACUUGAUUAAGCGCACACAUCUAGGGGGAGCCCGUCUAUAUUUUGUAGACUUUGGGGUUUGCUUUUCCUUUGUCAUAUCUUUGUGCAAAUCAUGUAUUGUCAUCAAUCCACCAAAAGGGGGAGAUUGUUAGGGCAUAUUCCUCCCUUAGUGGUUUUGGUGAUUGAUGACAAUGUGGUUGCGGACUAAUCGUGUGCAUUGACAUUUUCAGUCAUUCAAGCAUUUGGCGCAAGACGAUUCGUGCCCCUCGGAGUUUCAAGUAAAGACGGUUUUCUUUCCUUCGGUUCUUUUCUGGUAAUCUUGAGUCAUAGGGAAAACCGUACUAUCAAGAGGGGGUCCGCGGCGAAAAGGUUCGGGUGGAAUCAACACGUACACACUCAUAUUGCACCCUUUGCUUCUUUCGCAUCCUUUGAGUUGUCCAUCGUUUGUACCGAAGAAGCGGAGGAGAGUCACAAGCGGUAGUACCGGGCUAGAGUGGUAGCCGCCUACGGGUGGUAGUACCACGGGCUGGAGCAGUAGUACCGCCUACGGGCGGUAGUACCGCUGCCAGUCUCGCUCGUAGUUGGGACCGUGAUUUUUCGUGUCGGGUUUGAACGGUAGUGCCUCUGGGCUACUACCGUGCUACAUGUUUGUCCCCAGGAAACAGGCGGUUGUAGCACCGGUAACAGUGGCAAUAGUACUGCCUAUGGGCGGUAGUACCGCCCCUACUACCGCGGCUACCACCGCCCGUUACUCUGUUCUUCCCCUGUUCUUCAGGAGCGAUAGUACCGCUCCUGGAGUGGUAGUACCGCUUGCAUGCGGGCUAUGUGGUGCAUAACGGUUGGAUUUGUCCCCCACUAUAAAAGGAGGUCUUCUUCCCCAAGAAGACUUACCUCUUCCUUUCCCAAACUCCAUUGUUGCUCCAAAGCUCAUUUUCGCCCGAUCUCUCUCCCAAGCCAAUCAAACUUGUUGAUUUUCUAGGGAUUGGUCGAGAAGGCCCCGAUCUACACUUCCACCAAGAGAAAUUUGAUCCCCCCCCACUAAUCCCUUGCAGAUCUUGUUACUCUUGGGUGUUUGAGCACCCUAGACGGUUGAGGUCACCUCGUAGCCACAUUCCAUUGUGGUGAAGCUCCAUGGUGUUGUUGGGAGCCUCCAAGCUUGUUGUGGAGAUUGCCCCAACCUUGUUUGCAAAGGUUCAGUCGCCGCCUUCAAGGGCACCACUCACUACUGCAGGAUGCUGCUAACGCGACACUACGAUUGGAGACCCUUUGACGAAACUGUGUGCGAUGCAUUAAUUGCAAACGAUGAUGUAAAAUAAUCGUCAAAAAAGAUGCAAAACGUUGCGAUGGCGGAGCCAUCAAACACGGUUCCCAUUUUAGUUGCAUGUGCGAUGCAGGGCAUACAGUUCAGUUCAAUUAACUGUUUGCGAUGAGGAAGAAGAACAGAAACGGGCAGCCAGAUGCAGGUGUGUGCGAUAUACGGCAUACAGUUCACUCGGAUGAACUGUUUGUCAUGAGGCGGAACAUCAGAAAUGGCAGCCAGAUGAAGGUGUGUGUGAUAUAUGGCAUACAAUUCACUCGGAUGAACUGUUUGCGUUGAGCCAAGCGAACAGAAAUGGUUCAACUUAACAAGAUGUGUGUGAUACGCGGCAAACAGGUCUGGAAUCAGAAAUGUGUGGGAAGACCGAUAACAACACAGACGAUUCCUGUUAACAAGCCGUGUGUGUUGUGAGCAAACGAUUGCUGGUAUACAAUUGUCAGUGAUUGAUGAAAUUAUCACCGACGGGUUCCAUUGUGUAAUCCGUGUGUGAUGUGAUUUGCUCUGUUUAGAGAGCAUCAACAUAUAUACUUAAAAAGACAACAUUGGAAAACCAAAUUAAGCAUACAAUUACACACGUGACUACACACAUAACAUUUCCACACACCAAAGUAAGCAAUUACAUGCAUACUAAACUAGGAGAGACGAGGAUCUAAUCAUCUACUUAUUGUUGCGAUGACGCUUGCCAUUUCUCUGCUUCCGGCUGGAUCCCUGGACGUUUUGGGGAAGGAGGCACUUCCUCAUGUCAACGAUCCGCCUGUACAUGUCGUAUCUCGUGUACGCCUCCUUGGCAGCAUACACGACGUGAGCUUUGUCGAGUUUCUCCAUCCAGGCCGAGUGCCAGGCACGCUUGUCCUUGUUGCGGCAAUCCUUCAUAUCUCUGUAGUAGGGGUCGAUGAUGGCCUCGGCGAGGUGAACCAGUGAGUCCUUCUCAUGCUCCUUGCUGCCCAGAUCUUUUAUUGGCCCUGGAUGUCGACAAGAUUCUGGCAGGCGAUACUCGGAUUCUUGAGCACCUUUACAUCAUUGGUGAUGUCCACCGUAGCGAACAUGUAGUGGGGGUUGUUGACAAACCUGGCAAAACGCUCGCAAGGCCUUGUGGCCAAGCAGUAGUGGUAGACGAGGACGUGGUUGCGCACGCACAUCUAGGCGACGACGACCUUGGGAUGAGACCCGGCAUGAGCACGGGUGUACUCGAGGUCAAACCCGGCCACCUUGUACUUCUCCUCGGCAAACAAUAGCUCCAUGAUGUGGAUGGAGUGCUCCACCCAGACCGGGUUGUUGGUUUACACCACCGAGAGCUCUAUGAACCUUUUGUGGGUGUCCACGACAACAUGCAUGGUGAACUGCUGCUCGUCGUCGGCAGCCGCUCGGAGCACCAUUGGAGCCUCGCAGGAUACCCUCUAAGAAUUUGUCGUGGUGGGUGUGCUUCUUGCAAUGGUGGGGCGUGAUCAAAAGGUUGAAGAGACACAAGGGUUAAAUGGCCGCUAUAAUAAAUGGGGGUCGGCCGGCCUGUAAUCGUCACGUCUUGUCACGACGUUCAUAGCGGAGGAUUCUAGUGCACACUUGACAAUACCGCACCGCACACAUUUCAUUUGACCAUGUGUGGGCUCGAAGAGGCGCCAAAUGUAUCAUCAGUGAGCCUGUUCCCGCGCUACCGCACAGUUUACCGCGCAAGCUUCCCGCACGGCUAGUUUGGCCACGCGUCGGCUAGAAGAGGGACAAAUCGUGGGCGUUUAUUGGCAAAAAGCUUUGUAAAAACGAAGUGUGUGGAAUGACUUCGGUCAUAAGUUUACCCGUGGGUGAUGAGGUAAAAGUUACACAGAAGGGUGAUGAUGGAAACACGAGUGCGAUGAUUAAUUCUACGCUCUACAGGGCACACGGUUGAAGAAACCAACUGUGUGCAAUAAUGUCGGAGAUCGCAAUCGAGUUAGCUAUACAGAUCAUGUGCUAUGAGAUCGACAGGGUAAACAGAUUCGAGAAUGGUUAAUAAAAUCUAAGACCAUUGCAUAUUAAGGUCAAAAUAGUGCUACCAAUAUACAAGUCUCAUACGAUGCCAUUUCAACGAUUUUACCACAAAAUCUCAAAAUAUUACAAGGUUCAAAUUCCAGAGUUAUAUGGCUCAAAUUCAAAGAUUACAAGGUUCAAACUGAUAUUAGAAAUGAAAUUCAGCUCAUUAGUUGCAAACGCUUGCGCUGAUCCGCUGAACAUGGAUAUCAGAGAGGUUCAAACUAAUAUUACCACUUCUAAGUCUGGUUUCGAAACCUCAUAAUUUUUGCAGAGGGGUCAGCCACUAAGAAGUCAUGUAUGGGGUUGACACGAUGACUUCCGAUUACUCUGUCAUCUGAAGUUCCAAAAUGAAAUUCAGCAUUUUUGGAGCCUAUUCCAUUUUGCCACAGCCGCCGGCGCUAAUCAACAAACCAUUCAUUUUUGCGAAAUAGAUGUAGGGCAAACCUCAUUAACUUCAGCACCCUUGCUCUGACAACAAAGAACCUGGUGAAUAUAAUCUCCGGUAAGGUCCCUUGGUAGGAGUUCAAAGUAAUUUCUGAGAGAUGCAGAUCUAGGCAUUCGACGUGAUUGUUAUAUUGUAUCACAUUAUCCACCACUGGGCCUAAUCUUAUCUGCAAAGGAAGAAAACGUGUUAGUGCCUACAUGCAGUUUUGAACACUACUGCAGGCCUAUUUGGUUUGCAGGAUUUGUAAAAUGCACUAACAUGCCAUCUUUGAUCUGACAUGAUUAACAUGGGCAUUUGAUUACAGUCUAGAAAAACGUAGCCUUCUUCACAAGAGGUUGGAGUGGAUGAAAAGUUCCCUAAGAAAACUAGUACACAUGAAUCUAAAGGAGAAAUGCUUAUGGAUUGUAACCAUAUGGAUCAAGCAACCAAUAUGGGGGGGAAACAUGUAUGUACUGAAAUCCUCCAAAAGAAUCCUUAAAAAAUCGUAGUACAUUGUCAUUGUAAACUUGGGAAAAGGUGUCACAAAUUAAACUCCCUUAUGGUUAACAUUUAACAAAAAAGGAACAUCACCUCGAUAUAUAGCUUCUCCAGGCACGGCAAGCAUCUCAGGAAACUGACAACUUGCUCCAGGUUGGGGCCGAUAGAUUCUAGUGCCAAGACCUUCACUGUGCGCAGUUUCGGGGUCAAGCUUGUCGGAAUCAUUUUCUGGAUGACAGACGAACAUACAUCUUCAAAAAUUGGAAAUAAUGUUAAUUUGUAGAAGGAAAGGUAGAAGGCGGUUGUUGUACCUGAACGGGUGUCGAUCCAAUAACAAGUUCGGAGUAUUUGUCAGACGAGUAGCCCACCACUGUCAAUUUCGGCGCAGAAAUGACAUUGAUUCUUGUUGGACCUUCUUGAUCAACUACAAGUAAUCUCUCAAGUGCAGGUGUGUCCUCAAUGACCAUACCAUGGUACACAUCUUGUGAUGUCUUCUUGCUGCACUAGCAACACACAUAAAUAGUCCAGAGAGUCAUGGAGGUGAUGUGGAAGCUACUCAACCCAUUGAUCGCCUGAAGACGAAGGUACUCGAGUGCAGUACAGCCACGGAGUAGGCGCUCCAUGUCACCAUUUGGGUGGCGGAAGGCGACGAGCUCGAGGUGCUUCAGUCGUGGUAGAAUAAGAGCGGGCGCGUCAUUUAGGGGGAUGGCAGUUCCUGAACUUGGCGACGCGUAACGUGGGCGUGAGGCGGAGCACGGACGUUGGCAGUGAGCGCAUAUGCCCAUCAUCAAAAGUGAGCUCCUCGAGCUGAUCUAGGGCGGGGGAUCGAAACCAGUAGUCAAGCUUGGCUCGGUCCUUGCCGUUGGAACGGAACUUGCCCAUUCUAAGGCCCCUGGUUGGGCCAAGGUGACUGUCGAGGAUCUUGGAGAACGCAUCCAAGCUUUUGCGAUAGCCAUGGCAGAGCUCGUGGGUGUCGAUGAGGUCGAGAGGGGUGGAGUUCCAUAGGGGGCGCCACCACCGGGAAAUGACGGUUGUCCGCGCCCCAUAUUUGAUUGGGAGGAGGGAGAUGAUGACUGUCAACAUAUCAUCGGGGAGGCUGAUGAUGAGGUCUAGGCAUGCUGGAGUCACUUGCGGUUCUUGCUCGCCCCGCCUCCGCUUGUUGUCAGCCCCGUACUCCACCUUUGGAGUCUCCUUGUCAGCGACGCUUUCUCAUAGAAGUGGGAGUACAGGGAAUAUUUAGUUAAAACAGGGCAACAGAAAAGUGUAUUGGUAACUAGAAGUUAUUAGGUAGGAAUAUAGUAAGAAAAUGGAAUAACAAUUGGUUGCUUAAAUACUACACAAUUCAUUUGAUAUUGCUAGGUAACUCAACAUGCAGAUACUUGAAAAGAAAACUUACUUUGAACAAAGUCUAGACCGAUGAUAUCAUCGGGGAAGUUAGCAUAUAUCUCAUGACCAGGCUCUUUUAUGUGCAGUGCAAUUUUAGUGCCAACUUUCAGUACAUAAAACUUAGAAAUUUCUUUCCAAAGGCCGGUGCCAAAAUAGGAGUCACCAUGUUCAUCAAGUCUUACAGUAGCAACGAUUGUAAUCCAUGGUUUGUGUUCAGUAUGACAUCCCUGCGGUCUUGAUUUUUGUAAAGGGAAAGAUUGUGCACUACAUAUUAUGUUGCAUAGCAAGGGACGCGCUGCAGAAAAUGAUAGGAUUGUUAAAAAAAUAUGGUAACAUGCAAAUAUGGGCCCAAAUUGAAAGAACUGUACAGCUGUUGAAAUCGAAGGACAAAAAUCUAUAAUUAAACAGAUAGGGUAAACAUGAUGUCAUGGAAAUAUGAGAGUAAUCGAAAGAACAAUACAUCAUUAAUUUGCCUAAUAUAGAAAGAAGAGGGGAAAAUUCCCCUUUGACGUAUAUGGUGCAUGUGGCACCUUUUAUCCAAAUGUAGCAAUUUUUAGUAUAUGUUCAGGAAAGUAGGCCAUGCCAACCGAUUUAGGGUGAGAUGGAACAUACCGCGCACAUCCUCAAGUCAUGUACGGUGAUACGGAACUCCAUUCCAAAUCAAUUGUCAGGUCCUGGCUAGGAAUUAUUAGCACGAACACUAACCCUAGUCGGAUUACUAGCAGAAAUGAUUUGCACAAAUGAAACAACUAAUCACUUAUCACUUGUACCAUUCAAAUAAUCAAUACACUACAUGGAUCUAACGAAACUUACUCAGAUUUCAUGGAUUGGGAGAACAAAAUCAUAGGAUUUCUAUUCCAAAAAGGGGGAGGCAGGAGUAACCAGAGAAACCCUAGGAUCUAUUUGACACAUAAAUGGGUAUAGAUGACUAACCAGUUGUCCGUCAUCGUCGGAGUCGUCGCAGUGGUCAUCGCCCGAGUCGUCACCGGAGUCAGUGUGGAACUCCGCCUCCGGCUGUGGAAGCUCGACGCCGUCGACGACGUCAGGGUGGAGCGAUAACUCACCGGCGGUGACGGCAACCUCUGUCUCCAUCUCCACACCGUGCUCCGGUGCUUCAGCAGCCCCGACGUCGCCACUCCCUCUGAUGGGGCGCUUCGGCGGCAUUCUCAUACACUGACGGCUUUGAGGACUGAGAACGGUGUUGGGGAUGCAGGCGGAGAGAGAGGAUUCUAUGUGUGGCGAGGAUGGUGGGUGCGGUCGCUCGGGCGCACCAUUAAUAUGGAGUGGUAGGAGAGAGGCGGGCGGCGGUCAAACCGCAGGCUCGCCUCCCGGUGAGCCUGCGUACCGGACUGCUGGCAUGCCUACUGUCGUUUCACACAGCUACUCGCACGCCUCCCGAUAACAUUGGGCAGCGAGCACGCCUCCGUCAAUUCACACACCUACACGCACGCCUCCUGGUCUACUUGCGCGGCGGACUGCGCACAUGCGUCCCAUCAACUCACGCCUGCUCGCAUGCGUCCCGUCAACUCAUGCCUGCUCGCACGGCACACAGGUCGCGUGGCGGCACAUAUAUUGUUUUUUUCUAUUUGGAUGAUUAAUGUUGCCGCUUUAUUGCUUAACCGAAGUAUGGCAUGUAUCCCUUGUGGGUCUAACGCUCACGGUUCAAAUAAAUAAUCCAUUUGGGAUAUUGGUUCCCAAUUAUUAAUAAUCUCCCGUUUGUAAUUAGAUAAAUAUUAUAUCAAAACUGCUCUCAAAUUUGACAAAAAAGUACAAUGCCACUUUGUAUUGGUGUCCAUAUGACAACACGAUAAGUUUCAUGAACUUCAGAUAAGUUUUGGAUGUACUAGAAUCUAAAAAUCAAGAUUCUCAAUGUUUGAAAUUUCUUGCACGGGGAGUAAACAUGCACCCAGUGAGACACAUGUGUUUUUGCAAUCCAUUUAGGUGCACUAUCACGUGUGCAUGUAGCUCAAAUUUGAUGUUUGCAAAUUAUACCAUAGAAAAUCAAUCAAUGUACUAAAACGUCUUAAUGAUCUCUGUUUUUUUCAAAAUUAAAACGUCCCUCCUUUGGUAACAUAUGUUCACCGCAGGAUAAUUUAACAUGCAUCGUAGUUGCGGUGGAUUCGCGGUGUGUGUGUGGGUGUGUGUGUCUGGGGGUGGCGGGUGGCUCGCAGUACACUACGAGUUGUGAGCCACCGUGUGGGUUGGCCGUUUUGUUAGGCAGGUGCCACAUCAGAGUCGUGAAUUCGUUAUUUAAAAUAUUACACAACCUUUUCAUACAUACAUGUUUUGGCCACAUGCAGUCGAUGGUUGUCCUACACGACAGUCGAUACCCGCGUGUGAUGCUUUCUGUGGGCCCACGAGGUCGUCGUCCAUCACUUUGACGAACAACCGACAGUGAGGUUAAUUUGACCAGCAAGGUAGAAUCUUUUUUGUUUGUGUUAUGGUGGGAGUAUAUGUAUAGUACUCGUCGAAGAGGUGGGAGGGACUAGCAUAUAUACUAUACGUACGCGUACGUGAACAAGUACACAUCACUCAGUGUUGCGACUUUUAGGUUUCCGAGGCACGUGCCACAUCAAAGUUGUGAAAUUGGCUAUUCAAACAUCACACAACACAUCUUUGGGCCACAUGCAUGCAGGCGGUGGUUAUCCUAGCUAGAACACUCACGUGUGACGCUUCCAUCUGUGGGCCCACGAGGCCAUCGUCGAUGCAUGCAUCACUUUGACCUACAUCGGGAGAGGUUAAUUAAUUUCACCAUCGAGGAGGAUUCGUUUUGGGUUGUAUUACGAUAGGAGCAUAUAGUAUGCGUCGAAGAGGGAGAAGGGGACCAUCAUAUGUAGUACGCUUCAUGAACCUCGCUCUGUGUGGGGGCUUUACAGUUUUUGAGGCAUGUGGCACAUCAAAGUUGUGCAUUUUGGGUAUUCAACAAAUGUUUGUCCCACAUGCAAAGCGAUGGUGGUUGUCCUCUCGCACCCACUUAAGCGGUUAUCAGCGAUAUCGAUGCUUUCCAUCUGUAAGCCCUCUUGGUCCAUCACUACUUUUUGCCUGACAACAAGAGAGGUUAAUUUGACUUAGGAGGGGAUUAUUUUUUUGUUUGUAAUACAGUAUAUAUAUAGGUCAUGCUCUGGGAUGACAUGAUACAGUUUGAGCACACACACAUGGAUGUGUACGCAUGAAUCCCUCCCAUCGAGUCGAAGUGGCUAGUACAACGACACGUCAUGAACCGAUCUCGCUCUCUGUGGGAACUGUAUGAUUUUCGACGCACGCGCCACAUCAAUGUUGUGAAAUGGUAUUCAAACAUGCAUGCACGCAUCACCUCCAUACAUAUGCAUUUAGUGGUUGUCUUCGAAUGGUGCAGUCCCUCGCGUGGUUAUCGGUGACAAGCCUAUAUAUUCGUGAGCCCGCGUGGACAUCCAUGAUCACCUUGACCGACAACAAGAUAGGUUACCAUGGCGGAUUCUUCCUUUGGUUUGUGUUAUCGUACUAUAGGUCAUGGUGAGAUUCAAACCUACUUAAGUUUGAGCGCAUAUACUAUGCCCGUAUGCAUGCAUGAAUCCCCAUCGUCGGCUUGAAGUGUGGUGUGACAUACAUAUGCAUCGUCAACCUAACCCUCACUCAGUGUGGGGAUUUCUAGUUCGAAAGCACGGUGCCACAUCAAAGUUGUUCCAUUGUGUAUUCAAAAACACACCUCUCCAUACAUAUGUUUGGGCCACACGCAUGCAGUGGUUGUUUUCGGGGACUAGCUACUUGCGUGAUUAUUGGCGAGCUAGCCCAUCUCCGGGGUCGCAUGGACGGCCAUCACUUUGACCAACAAUAAUAGAGAGGUUGUACGACCAAGGUGGAUUAUUCUUGGUCCGUUUUAUGAUCCAUCUUGGUGAGAUGCCUCUCUGGCCCGCCGACUGAAAGUGGGUGUGUGGGGGGCUGCUACUUCGCACUUUGCUAGGUGAACCUCGGUUGGGGGGCAUGCGUUCAUAGCUUAGGAUUCCCUUCGUGCCGACACGAGGGGGGCAAGCAAUAUCGCGCGCUUUACGAGAUAGGUGCCACAUCGAAGUUGCAUUUGGUUUUUGAACAUCAAACCACCCUUUUCAUACAUAUAUUUGGUCCACAUGCAAGUGUGUUCAUGUUUUGACCCUCUCCCGCGUCAUUUUUUUGCCAAAUUUAUGAACAUUAGACAAGUCGGAUGACGCAACAGAGACGGUUCACUCAAACUAACCGUGUGCCACGCCGGUGCCCCUGUCACGCACAUCCGCACAGUAUAUUGGGCUCCACGAGGCUUCUCCUCAAAAAUAUCUACCCGCCUACAGCUUUUUUCUGUUUGAUAACACACAGUUAUUAUGUUUCGACUGUAUCUGAUGUUUCUUGUUCCCAAUCUCGCCUGCAUCCCUCGAAAAUAUCUUCCCGCCUCGAGGGUUUCUCUAUUUCAUAACACACGGUUGUUAUCUCCGGACCGUGUGCGAUGCACCAUCAUCAAAAUUUUCAAUAGCCCCGGCAUUUCACUCCUGCGUUUGACUCCAGCGUAGUAAAAUUUUCGGUACCCGCAUCAUUUCCUCAAACACACCCCCACCCCCCUCCACACACACACACACCAAAACCUCCUCAGGCGCGCGCACACACACACACACUUCCUCGCUCGAAACCAUAGCAAGGUCCCCGCCGCCGCCGCAAGGCCUCUAUUGUCAACAUCUGCUGGUUUGCCCGUGCAGCUUGUCCACCGAUCUCCAUACCCAGGACGCCUUGAGUUUCUUAGAUGACACCUGCCAAAUGCCCCUUUCCCACAGAUCUCCAUCCCCACCCCCCACUCCAGAGCGCCGCAGCCUAAGCCCGGCUAUGCUUCCCGUGGAGCUCGAAGAGCGACUGGCCCAAAAGAGGUGUAUCACGGUCUCUUCGCCUGAUGUUGCCGGCUAUGACGCAGGCACUCAAUCAGCGGGCUAGAGUAUGCGGGUAUGUCGCAGAAGCCGGCUAUGACAUCGACGUCGUCGACAGCGACGGCCUGAGGCGGGCCAUGUCACAAGUUAAGUGGUCCACCCCCAACCCCUUGGGUUCAACCGCCAUCGAUCUCAUCCAUGGCCCCGCCACUGAUCUCCUCUGGCUCGCUCUCAAGAAUUUGCCAUCCUACAUCGCCAUUGAGCCCCUUUUGUCAUUUCGGAGGGACACGUUCUGCGACGCUGGCUUGGGAUCCACAGCUUCCAAGUCAGACCUCAUCGACUACGACCACAAGGAGGGCACCCUCUCCGGCUCUUCCAAGGGGAAAGAGCCCAUCUCCUCUUCCAAGGGGAAAGAGCCCGUCUGCGACAUCAGGGAGGGCACCCUACAGCUAUGCUCUUCCAAGGGGAAGGAUCCCAUCAGCGACAACAUGGAGCGCAUCCAGGGUUCGUGCUCUUCCCAUGGAAACGAGCCCAUCUGUGACAAUUGAGGAAACCCAUGCUUUGUUUUCCUGUGCCUCUUCACAGGGGGAAACCCAUGAUUUGUUUUGUCGAGUCCCUUUUGUAGUGUAGUGAGAAUAUGUCUAGUUUUAAUUGCUAUAUUUGGUUGUUUGCAGUAUGCCUUGUUUAUUUUAGUUGUUCACAAUGUGAUGCUCUAUAUGUGCAAUUAUUUACUGUGCAGUACAUUUCAUCAAUCCAGUUUUAAACAUACCGAUAGGAAUGCAUAUAUUUGUUUGUUGUUAAGCCUAUUAUAGCUAGCAUAUGCCUAUUUUAAAGUUUUUUAAUUGUUCGGUUGUUUGUAGUUAGCAUAUGUCCAGUUUCAAAUGCUAUCUUUGGUUGUUUGUAGUAUGCCUUGUUUAUUCCAGUUAUUCACAACGUGAUGUUCUAUAUGUGCAAGUAUAAACUAUGCAGUUCAAUUUCAUCAAUACCAAUUUCAAUAAUACCAUGAUGAAUGACUACAUUUGGUUGUUGCAUCUUGUAGUUAACACGCCUUUUCAUUUUUAUUUAACAAUAACCAGUGUACUUAGACUGGUACAAUACCAUUUUGAAUGACUAUGUUUGCUUGUUGUUAAAUGUUAGGCAUGUUGCAGUUCCACUUGUUUUGCUUUACUAGCAUCCUUAAAUCUGCACACUGAAGCUAUCUUUUGGAGAUCAUUUUGUCUGCCAUGGAUAAUUUUGGUUGAUGUUUAGCCUGUUGUGCUUAACAUGCCUCUCGAUGUACCUACACAGGACAAUUUUGGGAACGACUGAUGUUUUCCAUCGAGGUUUGUUUCAUCCCAUGGCUUAUAUAUACUCACUGUUCAAGAUAUCGGUAGCUGCUACCAUAUAGGCCAGGGGCUGAUAAGGGACUAAUCGGUGAAUCGGACUUUUAACUCAAUAUAUCAGUAACCCAUUUAUUGUUAGGUUAACUAGAGCCAUAUGUAAUAUAUCUGAGGCUACAUAGCAACAUGCACUGUACUUAAUGUCUAAAUAUGCAAUCCUAGGCUACAUAGAAACAAGGAAGAGUGUUACAGCAACAACAGCAACAGCAACAACAACGACACCAACAACAGCAACAACAACAGCAACAACAGCAACAACNNNNNNNNNNNNAACGACAACAACAACAACAACAACGACAACAACAACAACAACAACAACAACAACAACAACAACAACAACAACAACAACAACAACAACAACAACAACAACAACAACAACAACAACAACAACAACAACAACAACAACAACAACAACAACAACAACAACAACAACAACAACAACAACAACAACAACAACAACAACAACAACAACAACAACAACAAUUGUUGUU